rnacentral:lncRNA from 1 species
AAGGUGAACAUGUGCAGGCUUUCUGGGUGGUGGGAGAAGAAGUCAAGGAUCCUCCAAGGCUCUUGAAUGUGCGACUUGGGGUUCGGUUUGAGAGCAUGGACCAUGUCCGGGAAUUUCAUUCCGUCACGAACAAAAAAGACAGGGAAAUUGUUUCCAACCAGGUCAAAAUUACCCUGUGUUUAAGAACAAAGUCGCCACAUGAGUACUAACAACACAGCAAAAUAAACCUGAAUAAAGUUGUAUAUAGUGAAUAAUAAUGUUACCAAGAAAUCAACCAUCUGUAUAAGCAUCUAGAUUACAGAUGGUAUGCUACAUGAGCAAUCUUUUACAGCCAGGUGACUACCCCCAUUAGUAAACGAAAAUGAAAAGGCAAAGAAAAGAAAGGAAUGAAUGCAAUCUUUCAUCAAAGUCACAAGACUGCAUAAUUUCCAACAACUAUAAUUAGUCAAAUAUGAAUUGAGUACUUCAUAUUUUGUCACCACAGCCACCUCAGCUGCCACUACAGACACCAAUACAUAUCCACUAAAUAUGCCUAUGCUAUUGAAAAUAAAAAUAAAAUUAACACAUUGAUAAUAUAAAGGUAAAAACCUCACCUCUCUGGUGUAAAACUUCACUGCAAAACCACGAGGAUCCCUCAGGGUUUCAGGGCUGCCACGCUCAUGGAUAACAGUGGAGAAACGCACAAUGACAGGUGUCUGAACACCGGGGGCUCGAAGGAAGUCAGCACAUGUAAGCUGAGAAAUAUCAUGAGUGACCUCGAAGAAUCCCUUCGCACUGGCUCCCCUAGCAUGGACAACACGCUCUGGGAUUCGUUCUCUAUCAAAGUUGGCAAGUUUCUCCACCAGAUGAUAGUCCUCAAGGAGAAUUGGGCCUGACAAAUAGACACAGAAAUUUAAUUCGGAACUGCACCGACUCAACUCACCAUAUUUAAGCAUCUAGAUUACAUGCAAAUAUAGGAUAAAAAUGAAAUUAGUUGUUAUACAUUCCAGAACAUCAAAUAAAGAUGAUUGCUGCUCAGUUGCAAAUAUUCGUAAUUUUUAUUUACAUUUAGAAGGUAGGUUUUCAGACAACCAGAUGAUCAAAAAACCCAUCUUGACAAACCAAAAGGAGGCUGGAGGAAUUAAAAGAGAACCAACAGUGCGGGAGAAUCAUUUUUCAACUAAAGUAAGCAUAAAAUUUUAAAAUAAAUGUCAAUAGGAAAAGGAUCAGCUUCAAAUACAAGAUAUAUAAGUAUAUAUACAUAUCUUAAAUCCCACAAGCGUUUCCAAAGAUUAAUCAUCCUCAACAUGGUAGUGGUGGGAAUAACAUCCAAAAAGCAGUUUACAGCUCAUAAUCACAUGAAUAUCAAAAUCUUGUUCAGAAAAGUUGAGAAAACCAUCACAAAAAUUCAAAACCCAGGUAAGCGAAGAACCAAUGAUAACAAAGAUGAAUAUAUACACACAAAUAGUGAAUAGCAUCAUAAGAUAGAUUGAACAUGAAGCGCAACUAAAAAAACAAUAAAAUAUAAAAUAUAAACUGUGUUGCAAUUGAAAAGCCAGCAUCAAUCAACGAAGAGUUGUGAUGAAUUACCUCUAGAUCCAACAGUCAAAGAAGAGUUGUUGUUCCAAACAGGAGCACCGGAGUUUGUGGUCCAGAAUGGGGAAUCAAAAGCACUUGAAGGGCGGUACUGCAACAUACACAACGAAAACGAAACAAGACCAUGAUGAGCUAAAAGAACAACAAACACAAAAUUUCGAGCUACGCUUAAAUGACCAAUCUGAUUGAUCAAGAAGAUUAAUUCAUCAAGAAAUCAAACUUAAACAAAUCAAGAGAUAUUAUAACAGGGAAAUGAGUACCUUGUAAGGAUCCAUGGAGAAAGAGGGGGAAGGAGGAGUUUGAUAAGAAGGUGAGAGAGCAGAGCAAAGCCACCCAAAGGGAGGGUCGUGUGGCAAAUGAGAAUCGAAGAGCGAAAUGUGAAAUUGGGGAAUUUAUAAACACUUGCGGGUCGUGGGCGUGGCUCGCGCUUCUGCGCAAAUUACCAAUCUCAGCAGGUUAUCUUUAUCCACACACAGAGUGGGAGGUCAAGAGAAGAGAAGACAUAUCUUUGCCAAUUUAGCGUCGCGAGUCAGAACGAUUCUCGCCAAACCUGUCAACGAAGCAUUCUUGUAUGCACAAUUGUGGCAAAACGUCCUUCACUCACUUCAAAUCUUUUACAACCAAUUUUAUGAGGAGGGAUUUUUUUACAAAAAAAAUAAAAAAUUAUACAAUUUUAUGAGGAGAUGGUAUGCAACAAAAAAACAGAGGGGAUUCAGAUUUUUUUUUUUUAAUGGAAAUUAUUGUCCAAAAACAAAAGAAACAUUGAAGAAAUUGAGAGUUCAAUUUAAAAGUAAAAGAGAUCAUUAAAAUGAGUAAAAGAGACUAGAAACACCAUAAUUGACUGUGUAAUUAUAAAAUAUAUGGAGUCGUUUUUUUAUUUUUCAAAUUUUGUGAACAUAUUAUCCCUAAAUAAUGAACACAAAAAUUGAUUUAAAUAUAAUGUUGGUGUUGAUUGCAAUUAAUAAUAGCUAACUAUAGAGAUUUGAUUGAAACAAUUAAAACAUUUCACCACGACAACAAGGUCAAGAAUGCAAGUUGUUUAUUAUUAUGAAUUGGUUUCAAGACGAACAAUUUAACAACAAAUUCCAAACCUCUAUAUUUAGGAUUCAUGCAUUUAUCUACAUUUUAUGAAACUAAGUUGCUCAAAUAAUCUAACCAUUUAACAUGACACAUCAUCAAUUUUUAACCUAAGAUUUUUUUAAAAAAAAAUUGAAGUUAAUUUUAAAGUUAACGUGCUUGAGGGGUUUUUUUUUUCAUCAUGCUUCCUCCUUGAGAAAACUGUGAAUAAAAUUAAUUAAUUGCUACUUAUCUUCAGCUUAUAUAUUGAACCCUAAAGCAUAAAGCGAACUUCAAAACUUUAAUUUUUUGGCCACACAAACUUGAGCAAAGUAUGUCUUAUCUUUUUCACAAGAUUAUUCACUCUCAUUCUAAAUUCAUCGUGAUAUGUUAAGAAAUAACAAGUUUCACGAUGAACUAAAAAAGAACUCUCAAGCACGUUAACAUUAACGUUAGCAUAAGUUUUUGGAAAGAACGAAAAAGACCUUAAUUUAAAGAUUGAUGAUAUGUCAUAUGAAUGGUUAAAUUAUUUAGUUUAAAUUUUACGAAAUAUAAAUAAAUACACGGAUUCUAAAUAUAGAAAUUUGAUAUUCAUUUGCCAUAAAUAUCACUUUAAGAGUGAAAAUCCAGAAUACUAAACUAAAAUUAUAUUUCUUCACAAAAAUUGCAUCUAAAGAUGAGGAUAAAUUGAUGUUCAUCCGGACAUUGAAAAAGCACAAUAUAUCGUGAAGAUAUUCGAUAUAUUGAAAACCUCGCCGAUAUUCAUGUAGGAAGGCUAAACGAUUUUUUUAUGGCAAAAACUUCAACAACAACAACAAAAAAAGAGGCCUGGAAAAUUAUUAUUAUCAUAAUCGUGGUGGGAAUUCAAAAUUGAAAAUAAUUGAGAACGUCAUGCAUUCAUCGUUCGUUAUCCAGGUCUUGGAGCUUUGCUAACACCUAGGCGCAACCACUUAAGGCAGUGGCGGGUAUGGGUGACGUGGUCCACUCACAAGACGCCACGACCACCAAAGUGUACCUUGAAACGCGUGCUCUUAGAAAAUAGCACAGAGAUUCUCUCUCUCAGGGGAUAUGCUUGAAAUUUAUGAACAAAACAGAAGGAAAAAUAAAAACAAACAAGAGGCUAUUUUUGGUGUUGUCUGUGUGAAAGCCGCCAAAACAGCAAAUAUGCUGAUAAGGUUAGAAUGGGCCGAGCUCAGAUUAGCCACAAAGACUGUUCCUCUCUGGGCCCACUUAUCAAUAUUUUAACAUUUUUUUUAAUGGAGCUCGACAAUGAACAAAUUUUGAAGGUAAUUACUUGAUGUUAGUUAGAGAACCUCUAUGUCUAAGGGAACUACGAGUUCAAGGAAGCUUUGAGGUAUGCUCAUGUGACCCUACUUCUUGUUCUUUAUGCAUAAACAUAUUCAAGUUGCAUGUUCAAGGCUUGCCAUCUAAUCAUUAUAUAAUAUUUUGAUCAUCUAUUAUAAAAAUAUAAAAAAAACUAUGUAACUGGGCCUUGGUGCAAUAAGAACUUAAGCAUUAGCUUCAUGUAUGUAGGAAAAGUAGCAAAUAAUUUCAAUUGUAAAAUGAAUGCUUUGGUUUCUUUUCUUGUUAAUGCCGUUUGACUGGUUGUUUUGUCUUAGUGGUUCUUUGACCUCUCUUUGGUCUUUUUAUUGAAAGUUAUGUUGAGAAACUGAAAUUAACUUAAACGUAAAAGGAUUUUUUGAGUAAACAUAUUUCACAGCAUAAGAAUACUGCAGUUUUCCUCUCUUAUAUAUAUCUGAAAAACAAAGCUUACAAAAUAACAAUCUCCACAAUAACCACUAACACACAAGUGCAGAUUUUGUGGAGUUCAACUACCUUAAGCAACGGAAGCAAAUUUGAACGUGGUGAACAGACUAAACCACAACUUCUACAUUCUAGGACUUCAGCUUGACUUGGUCUCUACAUGGCCAUGUCAGCAUUAUUUAAUUAAAAAACUAAUUAAACUUAACUAAAUAACUUUUAACACCCUCCCUUAAACUGAUUUUUACGAAAAACAGUUUAGGAUCUCUACACCAUCACAUAAUCAUCUUCCUGUUCAAUGCUUUGAAAUGAACAAACUCCCAACAUGCUUCUCAGCUUCUCAAGCGCAGGUACCAUCACAUAAUCAUCUUCCUGUUCAAUGCUUUGAAAUGAACAAACUCCCAACAUGCUUCUCAGCUUCUCAAACGCAGGUUGCUUCAAAGGCUUAGUUAAGAUGUCUGCAACCUGCUCCCCACUCUUGCAAUAUUCAAGUACAAUCUUCCCAUCACUGCACAGGUCACGCAAAAAAUGAAAACGUACAUCAAUGUGUUUACUUCUCCCAUGCAUGACUGGAUUCCUCGAUAGCUUUAUAGUUGACAUGUUGUCGCAGUAGAUGGUUGUUGGUCCCUUUUGAACAUCACCAAGCACUUCAAAUAUUUUCCUAAGCGACAUAGCUUGACAGGAGCUUGCAGCUGCUGCUACAUAUUCAGCUUCUGUUGAGGAAAGUGUCACAAUUUGUUGCUUCUUUGAGGACCACGAUAUUGCACCAGAGUUGAGCAGAAAUGUGUGACCGGAAGUGCUCUUACGAUCAUCUAUAUCACCUGCAUAGUCACUAUCUGUGUACCCAACAAAACCAGAACCAUCUUCCCUUUUAUAAAACACACCAUAAUCAAUUGUCCCCUUUACAUACCUGAGAAUUCUCUUUGCUGCAUUGAGAUGCAUUUCAGUUGGUUUUUCCAUAUAUCGGCUCACAAGACUCACUGCAUACAUGAUGUCAGGCCUCGUGUAUGUUAAAUACAUGAGACUCCCAAUUAUCUGUUUAUAGAAAGUGCUGUCAACCUCCUUUCCACCUUUGUCUUUGCAUAGCUUUAAGCCAUGUUCAGCUGGAGUUCCAAAUGGCUUGCAGUCAUCCAUCUGAAACCUGUUAAGAAUGUCCUGUGCAUAUUUUUUCUGGUAGAUGAAAUUACCAGCAGUAGUUUGAAUGACUUCCAAUCCAAGAAAAUAGUGCAUUAAUCCUAGAUCAGUCAUUUCAAACUCCAUCAUCAUAGACUUCUUGAAUUCAUCAAACAUUUUAGCAUCACUUCCAGUGAAUAUCAAGUCAUCAACAUACAAGCAUACCAUGAGUAUUUUACCUUCUUCCUCAGUCUUGACAUAAAGUGUGUGCUCAAAAGGACAUUUGUGAAAUCCAAGCUUAGCAAAGUGAGCAUCUAUGCGACUGUACCAAGCUCGAGGUGCUUGUUUCAGUCCAUAGAGUGUUUUCUUCAGUUUGAACACCUUCUCUUCUUCUCCUUUUCUCUCAUAACCAGGUGGUUGAUCAAUGUACACCUCCUCUUGCAGGUUUCCAUGCAGGAAUGCUGACUUCACGUCUAACUGAAAAAUUUGCCAGGAAUUUUGAGCUGCAAGAGAGAUCACUAACCUAAUCGUGUCGUGCCUCGCAACUGGGGCAAACACCUCUUUGUAAUCAAUGCCAUGCUUCUGCUUGUAGCCCUUAGCUACCAAACGAGCUUUGUGCUUGUCAACCUCACCUUUUUCGUUCAACUUUGUUCUAAACACCCAUUUAACACCAAUGGUUUGCUUUCCCUUUGGAAGAUCAGUUAACUCCCAGGUUUGAUUCUUCUCAAUGGACUUGAUUUCAUUGUCCAUUGCUUCCCUCCAUUUCUCCUCUUUAACAGCCUCAGUAUAUGUGAUUGGAUCACUAUCUACAAGUAAUGCAAAGUGAGCAUUUUCAUCAUCAGAACUUGAAUAACUUACAUCGUAGUCCAUCAUCCAUGCUGGCCUCUUCCUUGAGUUCUCAUCUCUCAAAUUGUAUCUCUCUUCUUCAAACUGUUGAGAUGACUGAACUUCAAGUUGAGGUGGCUGCUGGGCUUGAGUUUCAGGAGCUGCUACCUCUUCAUUGUCUAAAUCAUCAUAAACUGGAAUUUGUUGUUGAACCGAUCUGUUCUCAGACCAAUUCCACAUAGUGUCUUCAUCAAAUAUCACAUCCCUGCUUACCACUAUCUUCUUUGUAACUGGAUUGUACAGUUUGUAUGCUUUUGAGACUUCACUUACACCAAGAAAAACACAUUUUUCACUUUUGUCAUCCAACUUCUUUCUUUUCUCAUCGGGGAUGUGUGCAUAUGCUAUGCACCCAAACACCCUAAAGUGAUCAACCGCAGGCUUCAAUCCACUCCAAGCUUCUUGAGGAGUCAUAUUCUUAACAGAAAAUGUGGGACUUCUGUUUAAAAUAUGAACUGACCAUAGCACAGCUUCAGGCCAAAACUUCUUGGGAAUUCUUCCUUUGACUAGCAGACUUCGAACCAUGUUGAGAAUGGUGCGAUUUUUCCUCUCACUUACACCAUUUUGUUGUGGUGUAUAGGCAGUGGUCAACUGUCUCUUGAUGCCUUUCUCUUUGCAAAAUGCAUCAAAUUCCUUCGAACAGUACUCUCCCCCACGGUCAGUUCUUAGAGUUUUAAUCUUCUUUUCUGAUUCAUUUUCAACUAGAGCUUUGAAGCUUUUGAAUGCUUCAAAUGCCUCUGAUUUUUCCUGCAAGAAAUAUACCCAUGUCUUUCUACUAAAAUCAUCAGUAAAGGAGAUGAAAUAUUUCUUGUUACCAUUUGAGAUGGGAUUUAUUGGUCCACAUAGAUCAGAGUGAACCAUCUCCAGGAUUUAUUGAGCCCUUGCUGCCUUGCCACUUGGAAAAGAGUCUCUUUUGUGCUUCCCAGUGAUGCAUUCUUCACACAUCUUUGAUGGAGGAGUUAUAUCAGGUAAGCCAGUGACCAUCCCUUUCUGGUGAAGUGUUCUCAAGCCAUUAAAAUUCAAAUGGCCAUAUCUGUAGUGCCAUCUCCACGGGUCAUCUUCUUUGGCAAAUAAGCAAGCCUGCAGAGUCUUGAUUUUCAAAGGAAACAAUCUGUUGGAAGACAUUUUCACAACAGCAAUGGACCCUCUUUUUGGGUCGUACACUUCCCACUCUCCUUUAUAGAUUGUAAUCCUAUAGCCUUUAUCUUGUAACUGACCAGCACUCAGCAAAUUUGUCUUCAAAUCAGGAAUAUAAAAAACAUUUGAGAUAGUUUCAAUAAAGUCAUUUUUAGUUUUGAUUUGAAUAUCUCCCUUACCCAUCACUUUCACUGUUGACUUGUCACCAAAACUCACUACCGUGUGAAAGCUUUCAUCCAAAUUAAUAAAGGAAGACUUACAUCCACUCAUGUGAUUGCUGCAGCCUGUGUCCACAUACCAUGUCUCCUGAUCAGUUUUUGUCAGUGCAUGAAAAGCCAUCAAAAGUGUCUCUUCCUCCUUCUUUUUCUCCACAAAAUUUGACUUUUCUCCUUUUUCUUUUGGUAACUUCGUGUAGCACUCAUUCUUGUAGUGCCCAAAAUUUCCACAUCUAUAACACUCCACUUUUGACUUAUCAAAGUGGUACGUUCCUUUUUCUUCAAAGUCAUCAUCUCUUUUGAAAACAUGAGAUGACUUGCUGUCAUCUCUAUGUCCAGACCGUCCACCUCCUCGAUGACCUCGACCACCUCUUCCUCUAUCACGUCCACCUCUUCCACGACCUCUUCCUCCUCGAGAACUUGAGGACUCAGAAACAAUGGAAGCUUUCAGAGCUGUUUGUUCUUCACUGGCAGUGGUGCGGUUAAGUCUUUGUUCAUGCACUAACAAAGAGCUUUGUAGUUCAUCAACUCGUAACUCAGCAACGUUCUUUGCCUCUUCAAUUGAACAGACAAUGUAGUCAAAUUUUGGAGUCAAUGAUCUCAUAAUUUUCUCCACAACUUUGACUUCUUCCAUGGUGCCACCAUUGGAUCUCAUCUUGCUUGCUAUUCCCAGAGUUCUAGCAAAGAAAUCAGUGAUGGACUCUCCUGAUUUCAUUUGUAAAGUUUCGAAGUCCCUUGUUAGAGUUUGAAGCACUGCACGCUUCACCCUCUCUGACCCUGCAUAUUUCUUCUUCAAAGAAUCCCAUAUUUGUUUGGAGGUCUCCUUCUCGAGUAUCGUCUCCAAGAUAGAUCGAUCAAGUGCCUGAAAAAGGUAAUUUUUCACCCUCAAGUCCUUCAGCUUCUGUUCAGCAACCCUCUUUUGUUGUUGUUCAGUCAACACAACUCCCUCUGCUGGGGCGUCAAUUCCUGAUUCCACAAGAUUCCAAUACUCCUUUGACCUGAGAAAAUUUUCCAUCAGCAUGCUCCAAUGGUCGUAGUGACCAUCAAAUCGUGGAAUCGCUGGUUGAAUAAAACUCUCAGUGGCUUUCUCUGUUGCCAUUGUUUCUUGCUGCUGCAAGACACAAUCUUUCACCUUUUUUUCAAGUUUGUUCAGGCCCAGAAGAGCUCUGAUACCAGAUGUUGAGAAACUGAAAUUAACUUAAACGUAAAAGGAUUCUUUGAGUAAACAUAUUUCACAGCAUAAGAAUACUGCAGUUUUCCUCUCUUAUAUACAUCUGAAAAACAAAGCUUACAAAAUAACAAUCUCCACAAUAACCACUAACACACAAGUGCAGAUUUUGUGGAGUUCAACUACCUUAAGCAACGGAAGCAAAUUUGAACGUGGUGAACAGACUAAACCACAACUUCUACAUUCUAGGACUUCAGCUUGACUUGGUCUCUACAUGGCCAUGUCAGCAUUAUUUAAUUAAAAAACUAAUUAAACUUAACUAAAUAACUUUUAACAAGUUAAUCAAAUAAAAUAAAAAUAAAACAACAAUUAGAAGGGUUGCAAUUAGAUAGGCUUGCUAGGCUCCAAGAGGUGCAAGACUGUCUUUUGAUUAAAGUUCAAGCUCCCAAGUCCAAAUUUGGGGCACCAACUAGCCUAUCUCAUUGCAGGCGCUUAACACUUGAAGGGACUGGCGCAAUGAUUUACUAGUAAAAUUUGUAAUAGCUUAAGACUUCGCUAGUAUCAUUUAGUAGUUACAAAUCACUUUACUUCGCCAGUAGUGAGUCCCAAUAUCGGCUGAAUUGCUCUUUCGCCAGUAUUAGUCUGUCGGUAUAAGCUAAAAUUGUAGUAGUGUAAGCUAAUUCUUGAUUUACUGUAAUUAUUCCCUUAUCGGUUAAAACUUCAAAUCAUCAAAGAAAAUCAAAGCACUCUCUAAGAAUUUCACCCUUUAAGAGUGCAUUGAGGCAAACCUAAAAAAAUUCUUCUUCAUCAUCAUCUUGUCACGCUUCCUGAAUCCACCAUAGGAGAUUUUAGUUUGGCCCUCUGGAUGUCCUCUUUUAGGUCUUUACGCACCGCUUCUUGGGGCUUAUCACUUGAGCUCCCAAAGAUCACUCUCUUAGCUUCAGCAAAACUUCCGUCGUGAUCUCGUUUGCGUUUCCCUAGGAUCUCCAAGGCCUCCAGCUGUUUUUGCAUCUCUUUAGAAUAAGAAGUUACCAUCUUUGAUAACUUUUCAUUUUCUGCCUGCAAUAUUUGAAGCUAGCGUUGAUUCUCCUCUGCUGUUUUUUCCUCUUUUUUUUUUUUUCAAUCUUUUGAUCUCACGCCGAUAUUCAUCAACCAAAUUCUGCUCUGCCACAACUAAGCUCUCAGUACUUGCACCUCAUAAGAUUUUGCAAUGAGGCGAUGCCCCACACUUGUGAUAGUUGUCGCAUUUUGCAAGCACAGUGCCACAACAUUGCUCACUAACCGGUUGUCAUCCCCCGUUCCUAGUAUGCAUACAUCCCUGGGAGUCACCAAACUCUUCGCAACUCCAAUGGCAACCUCGUUGUCAAGGAGUAACGAGUCGCUUUUUGUCACUGGUCCUCGUGAAGAAGCAAAGUAGGGUAUCCAGACUGGUGCAACUCCUUGCCCCUAUGUCUGUGUUGGCGGAGCUAGGUUAAGAUCCAAAGAAGAUGAGAAGGGAUACGACAUUUUCUUUCUGCUUUCUUUUUCUUUCAUUUUCUCUCUUUUCUCUUUCUUCUUUCCUUUCUCUUUUCUUUCUUUCUUUUCUCUCUUCUGCGUGGUUGUAAUUCUUCUUUUUCCUUUGUUUCCUUUAAUAGAUGAACCCUAGCACCAUUGCACCGUCUAAUUUUUCCGCAUUCCUUGAGCUCCACAGCCUUCUCGCUUUCCACCGUCUACAACUUUGUCGCGACUUGUGCAACGUCGUCCCUACUAUCCAUGGCACCCAUAAUUCCGCUUGUAGAUUUGUCGUACCUCUGCGCGUCGACACAUGUCUCCUCUCUCUAGGGGUGGGCAUUGGAUUUGUGGUUCAAAUUGAUUUAGGGUUGAUUAAAAUAAAAUGGCAGCCCUAGAAACAGUGACCAGGUAUCUAUCCCAUAUGACAUAAAACAUUUAAAAACAUCCAUGGGACUAUAUUUAAAAAAUCAACUUGAUAAUGUUUAGUUGGAUUGUAUAAUGUGUUUUGUUUUGUUUUGUUGGAUUAUAAAAUGUUUAAGUUUCUGUUUUUUUGUUUAUUUAUAAAAUCAUCCAUGGGACUUCAUUUUCGGUUCAAGGUUCCAUUUUUUUAAGAAACCAGUCCAAAUCGGACCAUGCCCACCCCUACCUCUCUGUCUCUUUUUUUGCUUUGUUUUCCUUCUCUCUCUCUCUCUCUCUCUCUCUCUCUCUCUCUCUCUCUCUCUCUCUCUCUCUUCCUUAUAUAUUCUCUCCUCUCUCUGUUUUUUUAUUUAAAUUUUUUCAAUUGUGAGUUUUGUAACAUGCAUGUUAUUUUAUUUAUGAACCCAUUACACGACUCCAAACUCACACAAAAAAAGACGACCCGAACCCAAGAAGACAUGUUUAUUAAAUGGGUUAGAUUCGGGUUGAGCAUUCUUGACACGUUUGUUAAUUGGAUUGGGUUAAAUAAAUCAAUGACAGCAUAAAAUGAACACAGGGUUUGUGAAAAAUGUGAUAUUUUCAAUGACUAUAUUAAUAAAUCUUUAUUUUUUGAGUAGUUAGAUUUUUGCACAAAGCUUACCUUCCUCAACUGAUAGCUGCAUUGAUCUUUUGUCUAGCUCAACGGCGUGUCUGCUAAGCUCAGAUGGUGAUAAUUGACGAAGCGCUGGCAACAUGAUGAACGAAGAGCAUUUUCAGUGCUGGCAAAACUAAAGGCAGAAAAAUUGUAUGAAAUUUUUUAAAUUGAAAGAGCAGUGCCAUAAUAAAAUGACCUACUCUGGAUCUAUUCUCUCUGAUCAGAAUCAUCAAAUUGCUUCAAGAGGUUCUUGAAAUGUAGAAACCCUUCUGUCCUUUGCUCAUCAUGGUUCUUCUCAGAACCAACCAAGUGAGGAACCAGAGAUUCAGGAGUGAAUCUAAGUUGCCUGGAAUGAGCAGCUGGCAAUCCAUUGGAACAGGUGGUUUACCAGGUGAAAAAUCUACCGGAGAAGCCAAGGGCAUUGGUGCGAACGCAGAUGUCUCAUGUUCCUGCUUCUUGGUUCUGUCUCUAGGUAGGUCUUGCUGCUUUUGCAAACAAUAUCGUUUGAAAUUGAGAGAGUAAGUAUUUUGUUCUCACACCUUUAACUCUUCGCUUGCCUAAUGCUGAAUCUAACUUCCUCGCACUACCACCAUGCAUGAGCUGAUCACUUGCACUGCUGAUGCUCGUGAAUUGGUGACAAGGGGAGCUCCGUGGCAACUCAGGGUUGAGUAUCUUAGUUCCCAAAACCUUAAUGGGAUGCGCGACUGGUCGUCCUAGAAAAACAUACUUGUUAGGGUUAGAGGUCCAUCGGAGUAGUCAUUAGCUGCUAAUCAACCCGAGAGAGAGAGAGAGAGAGAGAGAGAGAGAGAGAGAGAGAGAGAGAGAGAGAGAGAGAGAGCAAAGAAGAAAUGUGGGGCGUGUUUUUUUUUUCCUAAUCUUAUAAUUAAGCGUGUGUUUUCUAAAUCGGGGCAUGUGAGUUGUAUUAGUCGGGUAAUGAGAGUAUUAAAAACUUUCGUUUAAUAUAAUUCAGUAAUUAAGUAAUACAAGUUGACAUCAAACAAAUGACAUUGACUAUUUACUCAUAUCCAUAGUCUAAUACCAUGUACCAAACAUACCUAUACGAGCUUUUGCCACAUGACUCAUCUAACAUGACAAUCCAAGUCCACAAACACAAGCAUACACACUAAGACAGGACACUCAUAUGCAUGUGAACUACAAGAACGACUGCAUAAUAUCUUGUAUAGAAACAAGACAAUACAACCGGCGCUUAUUACAUUGGAACUACAGUUCACAUUACAUACCAAAUUUAGUAUAACACAGAUAGGAAUUCAAACAUUUGACUUGGCAUAACCCUCAAAUGCUUGGCCUCACAUUGAGACGGGAUAAAAGCUUUUGACCCAGAGACUUAUCUGCCUGCAUUGCCAAUACAAGCACAUAACAUCAGAACAACAUGGCUUAUUCUAAAACUAACCCUUCAUAUUCCAGUAUCACAUCAUCACGUUGCUUAACGGUACAAAUUCACAAAUGCAAUAAUUUAUAAAUAGACUCACCUGAGACCAGUAUGAGAUCCAAAUGCUGCGAAUCUCAUGGGUGACACGAGGGUCUGAUAGGGCAUCCACCCAUCGGCGGAUGAAUCGCUCUUGCCUGCAUGAAGAUGCAAGAUUAAGAACAAUGUUUAAAUACAAUUAUUUUCAUACAGAGACAUCACAGGGUUGCCAGGUACCUGUCUGGCGCCCAAGAUCUGUAUCUCUCUCCAGGUUGCUUAAAGUUGUUCUCCUUCUCAAUGACGCACUGAAUAACCAAAACAAAGUUCCCAUAUGAAUUAUUAUGUGCAGAAAACAAGGAAAAUCCAGAAAUGCAAUCGGUGCAUAUGUAUACACACACACACCUACACUAGUGUAUGUGCCCAGGUGACAGAAAAAGGGACACAGCUGGAAGAAAAGAUGAUGUACAGACGAGACGGGGAAACUAAGGUAUAUUAUUUAAAGCAAUAUUCCUCAAUUGAUAGAAACUGACCUUCUCACGCUUUCCAGAAAGGAUAUUAGAAGGAAUGGGGUAGCGCUCAGCAUGACGAACAGGAUCAUGCCUUGAAGGGAAGUAAUUAACCUGAAAAUAACAGUAUAGCAACUCAUCAGAGAAAACUCAAAUGAAUAAACAUGCAUACAAUUGGAGUUGUCCUCCCAGAAUAUUGAGCAAUCGAAGUAUACAAGGGCCAAAGCGAUUCCAUAUGAGACAUAACAAUUGAGUAAAAUAAUAAUACCUCCUCAUCCCUGUGCAUGAAAUUCAUGAAUCCCUCAUGAUGAUUGUUAUGAUGAGGACACUUGGGAGCAUUCACUGGGAGCUGCAGAUAGUUCGGGCCAAGACGGUGCCUCUGAGUAUCAGAAUAUGCGAAGAUUCGAGUUUGGAGCAUCUUAUCAUCUGAAUAGUAGAUACCAGGGACAACAUGGGCAGGGUUAAACGCAAGUUGUUCAUUCUCUGCAAAGAAGUUAUCGAUGUUUUUAUUCAGAACCAAACGGCCAACUGGCUGCAGGGGAAGGAUAUCUUCAGGCCAGGUCUUAGUUAAGUCAAGAGGGUCAAAGUCAAAUCUGUCCUCGUGAUCAGGAUCCAUUGUCUGAAUAUAAAGUUUCCACUCAGGGUAGUUGCCAGCUGCAAUGGAAUCAUAGAGGUCCUUGGUAGCAUGGCUGUGAUUAGCUCCUCCAACCUUAAUAGCUUCAUCCUCCAACAAACACUUGACUCCACAAGUAGGUUUCCAAUGAAAUUUCACAUAGUGUACUUUCCCUGCCUUACUGAUGAGGGUAUAGGCGUGAACACUAGAGCCUUCCAUGUGCCUGUAAUCUUGUGGAACUCCCAGAUCAUCAUAAAAGAAGGCGAACGUGUGCAGGCUUUCUGGAAGGUGGGAGAAGAAGUCAAGGAUCCUCCAAGUCUCUUGGAUGUGCGACUUGGGGUUCGGUUUGAAAGCACGGAUCGCGUCCGGGAAUUUCAUUGCAUCACGGACAAAAAAGACGGGGAAAUUGUUUCCAACCAGGUCAAAAUUACCCUGCGUUUAAGAAGAACAAAGUCACCACAUGAGUAAUUACUACACAGCAAAAUUAACCCGAAUAAAUUCGUAUAUGGUGAAUAAUGCUACAUGAGCAAUCUAUUACAGCCAGACGACUACCCCCUAUAAUUUAAAGGAAAAUGAAAAGGCAGAGCUAAGAAAGGAAUGAAUGCAAUCUUUCAUUAAAGUCACGAGACUGCAAGAUUUCCAAUAACUAUAAUUAGUCAAAUAUGACUUGAGUACUUCAGAUUUUGUCACCACAGCCACCUCAGCUGCCACUACAGAUACCAAUACAAAUCCAUUAAAUAUGCCUACACUAUUGAGAAAAUAAAUAAAACAUUGAUAAUAUAUAGGUAAAAACCUCACCUCUCUGGUGUAAAACUUCACUGCAAAACCACGAGGAUCCCUCAGGGUUUCAGGGCUGCCACGCUCAUGGAUAACAGUGGAGAAACGCACAAUGACAGGUGUCUGAACACCAGGGGCUCGAAGGAAGUCAGCACAAGUAAGCUGAGAAAUAUCAUGAGUGACCUCAAAGAAUCCCUUUGCACUGGCUCCCCUAGCAUGGACAACACGCUCUGGGAUUCGUUCUCUAUCAAAGGUGGCAAGUUUCUCCACCAGAUGAUAGUCCUCAAGGAGAACUGGACCUGAAAAAUAGAAACAGAAAUUUAAUUCGGAACUGCACCGACUCAACUCAUCAUAUUUAAUCAUCUAGAUUACAUGCAAAAAUAGCAUAAAAAUGAAAUUAAUUGUUAUGCGUUCCAGAACAUAAAAUAAAGAUGACUGUUGCUCGGUUGCAAAUAUUUGUAAUUUUUAUUUACAUUUAGAAGGUAGGGUUUCAGCCAACCAGAUUAUCUUGACAACCCAAAAGGAGGCUGGAGGAAUUAAACGAGAACCAACAGAGCGGGACAAUCAUUUUUCAACUAAAGUAAGUAGAAAUUUUAAAAUAAAGGGUUUACUACUGAAAUACCCCUUGAAAUUGUAGCUCACUUUCAAUUAGCCCUCUAUUCUUUUUUUUUUAGAAAAUUAAGGAUAAGAAUUUUUUUUUUCGGCCAAUUUCCCCCUGCCGUCUAAAUCCUCAACAUUUCUUCUAAUUUUCUGUUAAAUAUGAGGGCAUAUUGGUCAUUUCAAACAUUAAAAAUAAUAAAUAUAGAAUUAAAAAUUAAAAAUUGAAAUAAUAAUGAUAUAUUCACCCUAUGUUUGACAGCCACCAACAUCACACCCUCUCUUCGAUCUCUUUCCCCCUCCUCUUCAACAUCCACCAACAUCACCAUCCUCCACCCUCUGUCUCUUCUCCCCCCAUAUGCCCAUCCCCUCCUCCUUCUCCCUCCCACUCUCUUUUUGCGUCUCUCUCUCCCGAUGCCAAGGUUACAGAGAGGAAAACAAAAUUUAAUAAUAAACAUAUUGAGAUGUUUUGGGUGCCUGUUUAGGAUUUUGAUCUUGAAUUUUUUUUCUUUGGUGGCUGUUUGGCUGUUUGGGUUUCCUGGGGAGUAAGGUGAGGUUAAUAAUAAAGAUCUUCAAAUUUUUUGUGUGGCUAUUUAGGGUUUUGAUCUUGAAUAUAAAUUUUUUUUUGGGUGGUGUUUGAGUUUUUUGGGAGGUGAGGUUAUGGAUGUCGAAGAAAGAGGGAGACAUAAGGAGGAGGGGGAGGGUGAAAGGUGGGGGAAGAGAGAAGAGAGGGUGGGAGACACACUUUGUAGAUAACGAAAGGACGAAAAACAAAAAAGAAGAUCAAAACCCUAAAGCGUAAGGGAAUAGGGCGACAAAGUGAGAGAGAAGGAGGCAGGAGGAGGUGAGUCGGGGUGGGGCUGGUUGACCUCGGGAGAAGCAUCGGGCAGAGGAGGAGGGGGAGAAGAAAACCAGAGGGGAGGGGGAAGAAAAAAAACUGAUGAGAUAAGGUUUUAUUUUGUGUUAUCUUUUUCUUCUUUUUUCAAUUUUUUUUAAUGAUUUAAUAAAAAAUUGGAUAAAAUGUUGAGAUGUAGACCGCAGGGGAAAAUUAGCCAAAAAAAGAAAUUCAUAUCCUUAAUUUUCUAUAUAUAUAUAAAUAAAUAAAUAACAGAUAAGGGGUUAAUCGAAAAGGAUCAGCUUCAAAUACAAGAUAUAUAAGUAUAUAUAUACAUAUCUUAAAUCCCACAAGCGUUUCCAAAGAUUAAUCAUCCUCAACCUGGUAGUGGGCGGGAAUAACAUCCAAAAAGCAGUUUACAUCUCAUAAUCACAUGAAUAUCAAAAUCUUGUUCAAAAAAGUUGAGAAAACCAUCACAAAAAUUCAAAACCCAGGUAAGCGAAGAACCUAUGAUAACAAAGAUAAAUAUAUGCACACAAAUAGUGAACAGCAUCAUAAGAUAGAUAGAUGAUGAAGCGCAACUAAAAAUAAAAAAUAAAAAAACUGGGUUGCAAUUGAAAGCCCAGGAUCAAUCAACGAAGAGUUGUGAUGAAUUACCUCUAGGUCCAACAGUCAAAGAAGAGUCGUUGUUCCAAACUGGAGCACCGGCGUUUGUGGUCCAGUAUGGGGAAUCAAAAGCACUUGAAGGGCGGUGCUGCAACAUACACAACGAAAAUGAAACAAGACCAUGAUGAGCUAAAAGAACAACAAACACAAAAUUUCGAGCACGCUUAAAUAUGACCAAUCUGAUUGAUCAAGAAGAUUAAUUCACCAAGAAAUCAAACUUAAACAAAUCAAGAAAUAUUGAGAUUAGGACAGGGAAAUGAGUACCUUGUAAGGAUCCAUGGAGAGAGAGAUGGGGAGAAGAAGAAGGGAGUUUGAUAAGAAGGUGAGAGAGCAGAGAUAAGCCACUCAAAAGGAGGGUCCUGUGGCAAAUGAGAAUUGAAGAGUGACAUGUGAAAUAGGGGAAUUUAUAAACACUUGGGGGUCGUGGAAGGUCCCUCGCGCUUAUGUGCAAAUUACCAAUCUCAGCUGGUUAUCUUUAUCCAAACACAGUGGAAGGUCAACAGAAGAGAAAACAUAUCUUUGCCAAUUUAGCGUCGCGAGUCAGAACGAUUCCCGCCAAACCUUUCAAUUGAAAAGUAAAAAUGAGUAAAAAGGAGUAGAAACACCAUAAUUGACUGUGUAAUUAUAAAAUAUAUGGAAUCGUCUUUUUAUUUUUCAAAUUUUGUGAACAUAUUAUCGCUAAAUAAUUAACACAAAAAUUGAUUUAAAUAUAAUGUUGUUUUAUCUAAUGAGUAUUUCAAACUUGUAAUUAAUGCUAACUAUUUUUUAUAUUAUUUUUUUAAUAUAAAUGGACCAAUUUAAAAAAAAAAAAAAAAAAAGCUACAGCAUUUAUGACUCUAAAUUUGAGAGUAUGGUUGGAGCUGAAAUUUUUUAAAGAGCUCCUAAAAUAGCUUUUUUGUAUUCUUACCUAAAUUUUAGCUAAAAAAUAGAGAACAUCAUUAUGGAUGCUCUAACUAUAGAGAUUUGAUUGAAACAAUUAAAAACAUUUCACGGCGAACAACAAUGGCAGGGCAAAAUGCAAAUUAUUAAUUUGACUAUUGUUCUUUGUUUGUACCAUAUAUGACUCUCCGCUCACAUCAUGACACGUGGAAAGCAAACGAGGUUAAGACCAACCCUGUGAAGCAGGGCCGAAUAGGCCAAUUCGACAUGAAUCGGCAUACACCACCGAUUCAUACAUGUUCUUCAAUUGGUAAGUGCUCUGGACUGCCCCCUUAAACAAACCUUCAGUACCUGAUGUCGAAUGACCUCAAGGGCGCCAUCAGCACGACUGGCCGAUCAUACAAGACAACCUCGAAGCUCUCGCUAAAGCAUGUUGGGAUGCGUGUCAACCAUUAAAGACACUCUCACAAGUCCUACAUCGAAACUAAGUGCUAAGUGAUCACCCAACACCCUGAAUAAAUAAGGCCUCUGGCCCCAGCCACAGGGUAAAACUUUCUACUUGAACUGUGCUCCCACAUUCAGUACUUAGCUCUUAGUCACUAACUUUGGCAUCAGAGGGUCUUCGCCCGAGACCAUACCGGUGCUCAAGACCUCACCUGCCGUUUCUCUCUUCAGCUUGAUUCCAGCAUCAUGAUCCAAGGAAGGACGCCACGGUCCGAAGGCCCCUCCUGUCCAAACCAUCCAUAUAACUUGUAAGUUAGCCCUAUAACUAUUUGUUUAGUUUUAACGCUAACAUUCUUAAUUGAAUUAUUAAUUUUUUGUUAAUCUUUUAUUUUACUUAAGAAAAAAAAAAUUCAUUUGUAUAUCUCACAUUAUCAUUGAACUGGAUUCAAGACAAUCAAUUUAACAACAAAUUCCGAAUCUCCAUAUUUAGGAUCUGUGCAUUUAACCACAUUUUGUGAAAUUCCGCUCAAAUAAUCUAACCAUUUAAUAUAGGACACAUCAUCAAUCUUUAACCUAAGAUUUUUUUGUUAACUUUAAAGGUAACAUGCUUGAGGGAGAUACUUUUUUCAUCAUGCUUCCUCCUUGAAAAAACUGUAAAUAAAAUUAAUUUAUUGCUAUUUACCUCCAGUUUAUAGAUCGAACCCUAAGCACAAAGUGAACUUCAGAACUUUGAUUUUCUAGUCACAAAAAUCGAGCAAAUUAUGUAAUUAAGAAAUAACAUAUAUUACGAUGAAUUAAAAAAACCCCUCAAGCACGUUUACUUUAAUGUUAACAUCAAUUUUUGAAAAGAAAAAAAAAAGGACUUUAACUUAAAGAUUAAUUAAUGAUGUGUCAUAUAAGUAGUUAGAUAUUUAGUUUAAAUUUUACGAAAUGCAAAUAAAUGCACAGAUUCUAAAUAUAAAAAUUCGAUAUUCAUAUGCCAUAAAUAUCACUUUAUGAUUGAAAAUCCAGAAUAUUAAACUAAAAUUAUAUUUCUUCACAAAAAUUGCAUCUAAACAUGAGGAUAAAAUGAUGUUCAUCCAUACAUUGAACAAGCACAAUAUAUCGUGAAGAUAUUUGAUAUAUUGAAAACCUCGCCCAUAUAAUACAUUCAUGUAGGAAGGCUGAAUGAUGGGACCAACAAAGAAUUAUGUCAUAAAUUUUUAGGGUCAUAUUAGGGAGAUUAACUUUAGAUAAUAACUUGUGUGUCAUCUCUCUAAUAGAGGUAGAACCCACCAAUAAAAUGGAUCUCACAAUUUAUUAGAGAGAUGAUAUACAAGUUGGUAUCUAAAGCUGGUCUCCCUAACAUUUUUCUUAUUUUUAUUGACAAAAACUUCAACGACAAAAAAAAAAAAAAAAAACAAGAAAAAGGCCUAGAAAAUUAUUAUUAUUGUUAUAAAAUAAUUGGAAUAUGUGCGAGAAUGUUAAUCUGCACGUAAAGUAAAUGAGACACAAUAUUUAACGAGGUUCAGCCUUGCUUAGUACUCGGAAAACAACAACAGUAACUUUUCCACUAUGUAAAAUAAUAAAGCUAUAACUUUAAUGUUUAUAAUAUAUGUGACCCGCUAAUCUUUCUCUCUUAAAAAUUUCUCCCUGCUCUCUUUUCUCUCCAUCACUUACCCGCUUUCUUUCCUCCUCUUCUUUAUUUUCUUCCUUUCCUAUCAGCAUGGGCUCUCUUCUUCUCAGAUGAUUGGUUGUCUCACCCAUUUGCACAAGAGGGUAGCCUUGGCAAGCAAGAAUGACACCAAGUGUGCAAUAAACUAAUGCACCAAAGUCCCCACACAAAUAGUAAGUGGGCUUCACAUCACAUGGGUACUCUUUACAGCAAUUAUCAUAAUCGUGGUGGGAAUUCCACGAUUGAAAAUAAUUGAGCACGUGAUGCAUUCAUCAUGCCUUAUCCAGAUCUUGGAGCUUUGCUAACGCUUAGGCGCAAUCACUUAUGGCAGUGGAUAUGCUUGAAGUUUAUAAAAACAGACAAAAUAAAUAAAUAAAAAACUGGAAGAGGCUAUUUUUCGGUGUCGUUUGUGUGAAAGCUGCCGAAAACAGGAAAUAUGCUGAUAAGGUUAGAAGGGGCCCGAGCUCAGAUUAGGCACAAAGAGUGCCACUCUCUGGGCCCACUUCAAAUUUGGAUACAUAAAAAACGAAGAAGAAAAAUCAACGAACUCUGGGCUCGCUCAAUGUCUUUUUCUACAGGAUUUCUUCUUUGUUACUUGUCAAUACUGAUAUUGUAAAGUAAAGAAUGUGGAGCCCACAAAUAAUAGAACCUAAUUGAUUGAAGAUGAAUAAUGGUAAAGCUUGUCUGCCAACACUCACGUGAAGUCAAAAAAAUAUGAGUAAGCAGCCACAGAAUUCUGACUACAAGCAAGGCUUUCCCCCUUUCUUCAACAAACAUACCAUCUGAGAAGAAAUGAGAGUCCAUAUAAAGAAUAAAGAAAGGAAGGAAAGAAAGAGGGUGAAUGAGUAGAGAGAAAAUGAGAGCAGAGAGAUAUUUUUUAAGAGAGAAGUCACAUAUAUUAUAAAUAUUAAAAUUAUAGUCUUAUUUUUUAUAUAUUGAAAAAGUUAUUGCUGUUGUUCUUUGAGGACGUAGACAAGGGAACUAUGAGAUCAAGGAAGCUUCGAGUUAUACUCAUAUGACCAUACUUCUUGUUCUUCAUGCAUAAAACAUAUUCAAGUUCCAUGUUCAAGACUUGACAUCUAAUCAUUAUAGUGAUCAUCUAAAAAAAAAAAAAAAUUUAAAAAAAAAAACGUAACUAGGCCUUGAUGCAAUAAGAACUUUAGCAUUAGCUUCAUGUAUGUAGGAAAAGUAGCAAAUAAUUUCAAUUGUAAAUUUUAAUGUGGAAGCGUAGAAACGAGUACAAACAUUUGGAAGUAAACACGUUACCAUAAUAAUGUUGGUGUAACAACAAUUAGAAGGGUUGCAAUUAUAUAAUAAAUAUUUAUUCUUUGAGUACGUUACCAACAUCUGUUAUAAUGGAUAAAAAUGGUUGCAUAGGCCAGUUGAUGAGGACAGUAUGUACCCUCGUUACUCAAGUUUGAAUCUUCCUCUAGUUUUAUUACUUGUACAAAUAAAUAAAUAAACAAAAUGGUUUGUCUAAAAUAACUGGUCUCACCAAAAUUAAAGCAAUUACAUUACAACAUCUUCUGCCGUGGAAAAAACACACAAAACAUAAAAGAAAAAUAAAAAGAGAGAGAUAACAAAUUAUACUGGUAAGAGUAGACUACCUCCUGUUGCUCUUGUUGGAGGGGAAAAAGCAGUGAGGGGCAUAUUACAGUAGAAGAGUCAGCAUCAACUUCACAGCUAACAAUUCCCAAGCUUUAAAGUAAGCUCAAGGUAUUUGGGAGAGUUCAUUCUGCUGGCCAUCACCAAAACCAGAGUAUUUUGAAUCUUUAAUCGCUUUCCACUUGUUGCACUGAACACGCUCAAAUUGCCUAUAAAAAAUUGCUUGUCAUUGAAGACUUCCCCAAUAUAUUUAGAGCCAUCAUCCUUUGGAUCUCUUUUGCUGCAUGAUGCAUUGAUCACUAGAGUUAAAUAAAUCAAUGACAGAGCCAUAAAAUGAACACAGGGUUUGUGAAAAAGGUGAUAUUUUCAAUGACUAUAUUAAUAAAUAUUUAUUCUUUGAGUAGUUAGAUUUUUGCAUAAAGCUUACCUUCCUCAACUGAUAGCUGCAUUGAUCUUUUCUCUAGCUCAACGGCAUGUCUGCUAAGCUCAGAUGGCGAUAAAUAACGAAGCGCUGAUAACAUUAUGAACAAAGAGCAUUUUCAGUGCUGGCAAAAUUAAAGGCAGAAAAGUAGGUACGAAAUUUUUAAAAUUGAAACAGCAAUGCCAUAAUACAAUGACCUACUCUGGAUGUAUUCUCUCUGAUCAGAAUCAUCAAAUUGCUUCAAGAGGUUCUGCAAAUGUAGAAACCCUUCUGUCCUUUGCUCAUCAUGGUUCUUCUCAGAACCAACCAAGUGAGGAACCAUAGAUUCAGGAGUGAAUCUAAGGUGCCUGGAAUGAGCAGCUGGCAAACCAUUACUGGGCUUUCCAAGAAAAAUUGGAACUGGUGGUUUACCAGGUGAAAAUUUAACCGGAGAAGCCGAAGGCAUUGGUGCAAAUGCAGAUAUCUCAUGUUCCUGAUUCUUGGUUCUGUCUCUAGGUAGGUCUUGCUGCUUUUGCGAACAAUAUCGUUUGAAAUUGAGAGAGUAAGUAUUUUGUUCUGUCACACCUUGAACUCUUCGCUUGCCUAGUGCUGACUCUAACUUCCUCCCACCACCGCCAUGCAUGAGCUGAUCACUUGCACUGCUGAUGCUCGUGAAUUGGUGACAAGGUGGGCUCCGUGGCAACUCAGGGUUGAGUAUCUUAGUUCCCAGAACCUUAAUGGGAUCCGCGACUGGUCGUCCUAGAAAACAAUUCUCAGGAUAAUUUGGCAUAAAGUUCCUAUUAUCAUUCUGUACAUCUCUCAAUGCUAUCUUUUUCAUCGGUAAUGUUGAUUGCUUAUGGCACACAGAUGAACCAACCACACUGUUUCCCAGUGCAUUGUUGUUGAGGUUAGAGCUCACCAUUUGAGGGAUCAGAACAACUAACUUGGCUAAGAGGAUCCUAAGGUCCUGGCUGCAGAGGCAUUAGCAGAAAAAGAAAGAUAAAAUCAAUAAAGAUAUCCUUGAGUGAAAACAACAGCCCCAAUAUAACUAUCAUGCUAAAACACAUUGAGCUUAAACGAAUAGCAGAUAUAACAAACAUUUUCUUCCUGCUGCGCUACUUGAAUGAAAAGUAUCACACAAAAUAAACAAAAAUUUAACUCCUCCUGCUACACAACUUGAGGUGAUUUCACUAUCUAUGUCGAAAAUGUAGUCAUUUUAACAUGGAGUCACCAUAAAUGGCAUGUUAUUAUAGGGAGAUAAAGUUCAAUUAUUCAAGAAAAUAAGAGCACUUUGCCAGUUUCUGAAAAUGCCCUCCAUCCUGAAAGCAAUCUCAAAUUUAAAAGACCCACCUAGAGAGUGUUUAAAGCUGGUCUCUUUAUCAAAUCACCUAGUGGGGAAAUAUUUCAACCAUCCAAUCUCAACAUUUGGUAACAAGAAAAACAAAUUUGACGAGCCCGUGAGUCCAAUUUCAGCAACAUAUAAACAUCGCCCGCCUUUUUCAAAACCCAUUUGCAAAAAAAAAAAAUUAGAAAAAGAAGAAACUUAAUCAACUCUGCUCUAAACUGAGAGUAUCAGUACAAAUCUAUGGUGGGUACUCAUCAACUGUUUUGCAGACAAAAGUUGCAGUCUAAAUGGAGCUGCUACUAUUCAUAAACCCUAUGAGGAAGAACUUCAAGAGCCAAAGGAAAUUAAAUUGAACAAGAUUCGAUUAUAUAAUAAAUAUUGGUGCGUGCGUGUAAGAGAGAGAGAGAGAGAUAGAGAGGGUGCGAUGCUCAAAUUUGUAAUAGAUAAACAGCAGAGAUUCAUAGAGUGGAGAAAGAAUUACCGUUUGGAGUUGGAGUUGGAGUUGGAGUUGGGGGGAUCUGCAAGUGUUUGGAAUGGAUCUGAGGGUGAGGGAGGGAGACUGUUCAAAAAAGGAAAUUUGGCUCCAAAGGAGGCGGAGAGGUUUAAACUGGGUUUAAAAUAUAGGCGGGACCCACGCUACGUAGAUUGGGCCCAUCGGCCUAUGCAGGAAGGUACGUUUUUUGAUCCAAUAACUUCCAUUCCAUGUUGUGCGUUUACUGAAUUUUUUGUAUUUUCACAAAAACUCGUGAAGUUUUUAAAAUUGCAUUAAAUUAACCUCCUCUUUGUUUUCAAUUUAUUUACAUUGAUACUCAUCGAAAUUUUUUUUCUUCAUAUUUUCACAAAACUUAUGAGGUUUUUAAUGGAAUGAAUUUUGUAAAAAUAAUUUGAAAUUUCAAAGAAUAUUAGUGUAAUUUUUGAAAUCUCGGGAGUUUAGUGGGAGACUUUGGAAAAACCCAAAGGAGAGAGAAAAUUUUUAAAAGAAGCAAAAAUGGACAAAAUUACCCUUAUUUAUUUUUUAAUUUCCUAAGAAAUCCUUUACAUUUGCAUGUCUUUGGUUUGAAAGUUGAGAGGUUAUUCUGUCUUUUUUGAAAAAGCUUUGGCUUUUUCCAAAAGUGAAAAUUUUUUUAUGGGUAAAACCUAAAUUUACUUAGUAAUAAAAAUACUAACAAUCUUUACAAGGUGUCAAUGUAAAAAAUUCUAUCUACUACCCACUAGUAAGUUACCUGAGCGAGUAGUUCAUUGUAAACAGGUAUAAAAAUGUUGACUAUAUUUUACCUUUCAAUGAUUUACUUAUGUUGUACAGGUAAAUUAAUAGACUAAUUGGCCAACCAAAGUACGUACAAUAUUUUACACUAACAAAACCACUCAUUAAUCAAAGAAUAUAAGCAGCCAGCCGAAUCCUUAACUCGGCAUUUAUCUGCAAAUCAUUAGUCUCAUAUUCGAAAUCCAAUGUCACCUCUCCUCCCCUCCCCUCCCAAACUUUGACAAAAAUAAAAUAAAAUCAAAGACCAUAAGCAUAAGUCCCCAACAAAAGGCAGAGAAAACCAAACCAAAGAACCCAUCCACAUGCUCAAUUUCUCAUGAACCAUUACCAAUCCCCAUCUAUUCCCACCCUUUGGACCCCAAAAUGCAAGUGAACGUUACAAUAAUCUAGAAUGGAAGUAACAUGCCCAACAUAGUGUGUAGAAAGACACUAUUGUAGUAGAUCACGUUAUGGGGCGAUCCUACUAAGUUUUUUUUUUUUAGCGAAAUAAAUAUAAUGUUGUCACAUGGAAAAAAAGAAAAAAAUAAUUCUAAUUACUUUAUGAAUAAUUCUACUCUUACCACAUUUGUAUACCACAUUUCCAUACCACCUUAUGUGGCAGAUGAAGUGAACAGCUACAUCAAUUAAAAGUAUUUAAUAUUUUCUUUUCUUUUAUGAUUGAUUAACACUUUUUUAAAAAAAUGAUAAUAAAACUUUCUUUAUUAAAAUGCAGUUCAUUGAUUUUAAUUAAUGUGACAUAUGAUAUGGACAUGCCACAUCAUGUGGUAUAGAAAUGUGCGAUAAAAAUGUGGCAAGUGUAGCAUUACUCUUAGUUUAUUGAUAACAGAAGAAACCUAUAUUUCCAAAAAAAUAAAGGAUUCCAUUUCAAAAAUCUUACAAAAUAAAUAAGAAACGUGAAAAUAAAAAGUUUCCGUUUUUCUUUUAUUUGAGCUAUGGAGAUAUUGAUACACGUCAAAACAAGAUUUCUUUACUGAUACACAAGAUGACGGCAUUUCAGCAUCAAAUUACAUUCUUAAGAUGGACACAGCCUCUCCAUGUACAAAUGUGGAUGCAGUCCUCUCCGUUGGAUAUAAUUAUAAGUUAGGAACUAAUUUGUGUGAGAGAUUUCUUUCCGUAUUUCUCCCAUGCUCUGCUUGUGUGUUGACAAACAUACACGAGUGUAGCUAGGGUUUUAUGGUGGCGGGUGAUCAUCCUCUGGUGUUUGAGGUGGGAUAGGUUUCCAACCUGGUUUCUCAUCCCAGUACAUGUCAUAGUAUAUGUGACCAGGAGUGUGUUCCGCCACACAACACCAUAUACCAACGUACCGCUUCACGCGGUUCCUGAAUUUCUCUUCCCUUGCCUGAGCGUAAAUUCAUAUAUCAUCAGAACAUGAUAAAUAAGCAUGUACUAACGGUUCAACCAUUAAUAAGAGACCAAAGAAAAAAAAAAUAUCGAAAAGACUUGCCUUGUCAGUGAAACCUGGGAAGGCAUCUUGCAUAGAAGAAAACUGAAUUACUUUUACAUCCUUGAAUGAGGAGAAUAUUGUCUUGAACUGCAUAUACAAGUGAAAUACAAUAUAAUAAAAAUAUUAGAGUUAAUAGAAACAUUGCUAGACAGAGUUAGAAGGAAAAAAAAAAACAUUCUAGAAUAUUAUGUCUCAAAAGUCGGUCUGAGUCCUGACCACCUAUAUCUUGUCACAGUACUUAUCCCCUUUAAAGGCCACUUAAACUCUGACCAUUUCAUGAGCCAAUGAUGAAUAUAGUUUGAUUAACUGAUAAUGUUUGAACAAACUGGCCCAGUUUCAGCUUCUCAAUAAAUUAGAGAUCAUUAUAGAUGCCAACCCUACAAGGGUGUCCCUCAAAUAAGUUAUUUGAGGGAUCCCUCAACUGAAGCUCUGUAUAUAGAGUGCCAAAAAUGACAGAUAGCCUUUCACUAAACCGUAUAUGUAUAUAUUAAUAGAUGUAUAGAGUCUUUUCAAGAAAAUAAGUGCGUACACACACACACACAUUCAGAAUACCGUUUCUUCAUCGCUUCUCUUUGGAAAUCUCAGCACUCCUGAUGGGCUGGUAGUAUUUGAAGCAACGCAGUCUCGGGUUCCUUCUUGACAAAGCUGGACCUCAAGCCAUGAUUCUUUCACCUGAAAAAAAGAUUCAUAAAUGUAUAAGCGGUACUCUAAGGGAGGGAGGGAAGAGGGGGGGUGGGGGUGGGGGGUUGUUGGUUAGUAUAGAAGAUAAGUGCUACUUUUGAGUUUAAGUGUUAAGUUUCACUGAUACUCAUUUACCUGUUUUGGCAUCAAUGGAUUGUCAAAAAAUGAGUAUUCUCUUAUAUUGAUCUGGGGCCCAAAUAUCUCCUCUGGCAAUUCCUUGAGCAAGACAUUUACCUGCAUUCACAGUAGUCUUUCAUUAGCUUCCAGAGGAGACUCAGAAUAGGAAAACCAGAGUAAAAUGUGACUUUGAGAUCCCUUAAUAUUCCUAUGAUUUAUUUGUUCAACUCGUAGGAAGCUUCACUCAGUACAAACAGACCCAUUAUUAUGAACAACGGAUUUCAAUUCGGUUUAAACGAAAUGUAAGCUUUGACAAAUGAUGGAAAAUAGCUAUAAAGUAAACAACAAUUUUUAGAAAUAAAUAUUAAGAACUACUCCAGAUAAUUAAAAGUUGGGCAGGAAGAAACUGGUCCAGACUAAUUUCAGAGAGAGCUUGGUAUGGAUUAAAGAAAAAGAGGUAAAACAAAAGCAAAAAAGAGAAAAUCGACUGUUCUGAGGUAGCUGUAGGGAAAACAAUAUAACCGACAUCCUCUUCUUACUGCCUCUUUUUCUCUCGGCAAACCUUUUUCCAGUAUAUUUUGUAUUUCAGCUUUAUCUACAAUGAAAACCUUUUAAAUGAUUAUAACAAAGGGUCCACAGAUAGGAUAGAGAAAGAAAAGAAAAAUAAAAUUAUGCACACAAUCCUUGUGGUUAGAUUGUAAAAUUCGUAUUGUCCUUGGGGUUUGCUUCAUGACACUUAUUCUUUCUUUUAUGUGGUUUCCUCAGUAACAAAAACUCAUUAAUUUUUUGAGAAGAUGAAGCAUUUGCAUGCAGCACGAUGAUUUUUUAGGUUUCCAUGAAAAAUAAUUUGUGAAAAAUACCAUACAUCCCUCAUAUUGUGGUUUCCUCCAUAAAAAGUGGAGAUUAAGAAUGAAAGAAACAAGGGUCACAUCAUCUAUUCAGCACACAUUUUCAGGGAAUCAUACCAAAAAUCAUGCGGCCAGGCUUAGUUUCCUAUCGGAGUCAAAUUUUGUGUAAUUGAGGAAAAUCCAAGGGAAGCAUAACCCCUAAACCAUCAUGAGGGUGCUGGACUACAUCCAACAAGACACAAAUGACAAGGAAAAGGCACUUCCAGAAUCCAUACCAUCUAGGAAAACCCCCUUUGCAACUAAUCAUGCUCAAGAAUGGCGAAUAGAAGAUCAUAAUUAAUUUCAAUCAGAAAAUUUAACUGACAUUUCUAGUAAUCCUUAUAGGUUUUCAACCAGGGUAGUGACAUCUAAAUAAUCAGCACAAACACUGGUCAACAGACUGCAUCAGAAAUUUAAAUAGGGGAGGAAGGCUAAAUUUCUAAUUUAGACCAUAGCAAGGAUGACCAAGUUAAUAUUAUGAUCAUUAUUUUUCUCCAAUGACAUUAUAAUUCACUCACUACUUCAAAAACUAAACUCUAGUGGCAAAAGCCAUGAAUUUGUCUGUCAGCUGUCUUGACGUCGAGAAUGUAACUGAUAUCCUGCUGUUUAAGUACAACGGCUGAUUUAAUAGAAACUUGUCCCAAUGGACGUCAACCUCUAACAACGAAAAUUUUCUGAGCAAUCUUGUCUAUUGAGGAAGCAAAGAAAACAAAAGUAUAUAAAAUUAGCUCCGACAAACAGGACAUACCUCAAAUACAUGGUCAAGAGGGCAAAUAAAAGGUUGUCGAGUGAUAGAUCCCUCAAGGACACCAGGGUGGGGAAACCACAGCCUAUCCAACCUGCACCACAGUGGAGGCAUGACCUGAAAAUCACAAAUACAAAAUAUGAAGAAUAUGAACUCCAUAUGCAUUAGUUCAGCAACAAUUAUGGAUUUCAAACCAGGUACGUAAUAUUGGCACAAUGUUGAUUGAUUAUUUUAGCGGACAGAUUCUAGAGCCUUAUCCUUAUAACCAAACCAAUAAGCAAAACAGCACGGUAUAUAGGCUAAGACCAAUUUGAUGUAAGUGACCAAUUUGAUUGCACUUUGUUAAAGCUGAUGCAUCCAACCUAAGACACUACUAGUGGAGAGGCCUAAGAGUUUGUAUAACACCCUGCUCAUGUGUGGAUGGACUAAGCCAAACUGAUAGAUUAAUUAUGUAGGAUGACAUGGAGCAUGUGAGGCCAAUUGGGCCUAAAACAUGGAUAAAUUGCCCACUCUGAUACCAUGUUGAAGUUGGAGCAUCCAACCAAAGUGGGCUAUAGUGGAGAAGCACAUUAUUUUGUGUAUCGAGAUGCAAGGCAUAUAGUGCCUCAUGUGCAAUUUCUAUAUUCUCAUAGAAGAAACAACUAUUUACUUAUGAUUAUGAUAGUUAGGAUCUUGCUACAUGUCAAACUUGCAGGACCCUACAAAAUUUACACUAAACCUUGUAUGUGAUAGUAAAUGAGACAUGCAUGAUAGAACCUGUUGAAUAAGUCCACAAUUUCCAUCCCUAUAUAAUUCUAUUAACAGCUAUCAGUGUCAUGCGAAGCAUUUUCAGGUGAAGAGAAGCUAAAUACACUAAAAUAGUAACAAUUGAUUGUGACAACGGUGAAUCAAAAUUUGCAAUAUCACCCAGAUAUGUAUAAAUAAAACAAACACAAAUUCCUUCAAUAAUCCCACACUAAAAUUCAUUCACUCAUUUAUCACUGAAACAUUCCAGUCCAACAAAAAUGUGCAGCGAAAUAAAACAAAAUGAUAGAUAUUUUCUCACCAAGGUGCGAUUCAACAAGGAAGAAAUGGCAAGUGCCAUCCUUAUCUGCUUUAUCUGAACAAAGCCAUUUCGGAUAUAAAUUAUAUGAUGCAACACUGUAAUAUCCAGAUCAUUGCUAAAAGUUAAUGGAAGCAGGUUAGCACAUACAUACUUGGUAAUUAAUAAGAGAAAAAUGUGAUUUAACAUUAUGCUCCCCAUCUAGUAACAAGCUCUUCGGAAUAGAUGGCUUAAAUGACAAAAACCCUCCUGCAUAAAUUUCCAAAGAUGUCAAGCGGCAUUAGCAUGAGAACAGUCAUCAGUACAAUAUGAACAAAUGCCAGAGUAGCGAAUCCAGAUAUUCAAGUGGUCAAAUUUUCAGUUCUAUGCAAACUUUUUUAUUGCUGAUGAGGUGGCAAGUUUUGACGAAAAUUCAGACUUAGGCAGUGGUUUGGUUAUUGGAAUGAACAGAGGAACGGACUGGCAUUCCUAUAAAAUGUCCAUUUCCCCAAAAUGAUACCAAUUUUCAAUUCUUCCUACUUUACUCUCCAGCUCUCAGCAUUCUAUUCUAAUUCUAAUUCCAUUAUGUUCUAAUGGUUAAAUCUACCAAUCAAAGAGUACCUUAGUUUCUUUAGUACAAGAGCAAAUUUCAGAAAUGUAAAUGAGCAUGAAAGAUCAAGCUCCAUGAGAUGGGAGGAAACUUAACUGAGAAGAUGCAAAGAAAAUGAUACACAUUCACCUUCACAGAAGCAAGCAGUUGCAAGAAAAAUGCAUCCUAAGAAGAUCGAGAAGAUGUGCAAUGCAUGGCACAAAUAUUGGUGAUAUUUUAUGUUAGUACCUGGUGCAUCAUAGUAUUCUGGUGGGUCAUAGAAAACCAUGCCUUCACGUAGUCGGUGGCGCUUUCCUUCAGUACCCGCAUACUGGAAUGUGGUAUGCACUGCGUAUGGCUCCAACCUCAAUUGCUGAUACAUGGCCUGCCAUUAAACCAUUAAAAAGCUUAGGACUUGUGCGAUACACAACCUUUUAUAGCUUAUAUGGACUACGUUCACGCAAGAAACCUAAGUUUGAGGGUGCAAUUGAGGAAAAGAUGGAAGAAAACUAUAAAUCCAUGCCGAGAUUAACUAUGAAGAUACAAUGUCCAAACUACCAAAGAAAAACUAUACAACCCUACCUGGACAAAAUAUGUAUGCCCGCUACAAAAUAUGCUUGCAGGCAAAACUCCCAGCUUCAGAUUUCCAUCAAAAGCAUACACAAGUCCACUCUCUCCAUCAACAGGUGGUCCUAACUGCUUCCUUACGAGAUCAUUAAACCCAUUCUGAUCCCAUAUCUUUUCAUCAGCUAGAAGCAUAUCUUUCCAUUCCUUGGCCAAUCUUUUAGCAGCAUCUGUUGGCCGCCAGUGGAAAAUUCCAAUAUUGUAGGCAGCACCAACUGCUAGAGGGAAGAAAUCAGCAAAAUAACCAAAGCAAUAACUUUAACAUAAACAAUCAACAAGGGUAACAACAGAGACUAGGCUGGAGUCAAAAUUGAAAAACAGUAAUGAAGGUAUCCACAGAAACAGGGAAAGUUACGGAUCCUAUACUAGUAUCCCCAAGGGGUAGACCCCUCCCAAAGUAUUAGCGUAGUUAUAAUUUGUGGCUGGACACAAAUUCAUGUCACCAGAUACAGAGAUCCAGCACAUGGAAUAGCUGCAAACAUUUUAUGCACGUAUAGGAUAGUGGAGAUGAAAAAAGAAGUAUUUUUACACAAAAUCUUCACCUUGUUGCCAAAUGUCCAACCUGUCAUCAGUGACUGUUGGUACAACUUGAUCACUGGAAGUCAAGACAUCUGCUUCAGGAUAGCGAGCAAGAUAUGGAAGUGGGUCCUGUUCCACGAAAAAAGAUAUAUGAUAACUCAUAAUCGUCAGACGAAAAAACCAAACAAGUAAGCAUUCUUGACAAAAAAAUAUUAAGAAUUAAAGUACUAGCUGAAAAACUACCUUUAACCAAACCAUGUCGGUAUCGCACAUCAAGAGCUCAUAGCCAUAAGGGAGGAUUGAGUCUAUCAGUAUAACUUUUUCUCUCCCCAUCUUGUGGAAUGUUGGUGAUCCCCAUCCAACAUCUAUUGUGCUCAUAUGGCUGCCCAUAUCAAAUACUGGAACACCUUUCCAGUACAAAGCCUCCAACAGUUUGGUGUCCAUUGCACCUAAGCCAUCAAUUUCAAACUCAUAAGUGCAGACAUAAAUAGAAAUACAAAAACAUAUGUUUCCUUACAAGGAAAUGGAAUAGAUAUGUAAAGAAAUUGGAAAGGCCAAAAAGACAUAAAAGUGCACAACCCAGAAUGCGGGGUAGCUUACCAAUGAGAAGGUUAGAAAGCCCCAGAUCAGUCAAGUGUUUAACCCAAGUCAGGAUAAAAUCCAUGAAUGCAUAGUUCCCAAAGGUCACAAUAAUGACGUUAUCCUUCACUCUUUCCUGAACCAGUUCUUUGCUCAGUCUAAAUUUCUUCAAGGCUGGCAUUUUCUUUGUGUGUAGGGGAGCUUCCCAAAUGGGUCUUGUUGACAUGCUUCGAGGCUCUAGGGAAGGUGUGGGAACUGCUUGUACUAUUGCUGGUUCAGAAACAUUGGGUGCUUGCUCUACAGGAGGAGAACCUACAUCUGUAGCAAUUUGUGAAUUCACAAAAAUUAAAGAUAUGCAGGGAGAGGGAGAUGACUGAAAUCAUAGACAGAAAGCUUACUGAAUGAACACCAAAUAUUGCAAGAAAGGGUGCAUUGACAAGAAGCAAAUGGCUUGAGUUCUACAAUAUUACUGAUGGCACCAUGGAAAAUUAAAUUUACUACUUUACUAUGUAGGAACCGCAUGCAGUGUAAUCAUUAAUAAAGUGAAAAUACGAUAUACAAAGGUGCCACAAUGUUUAAAGCUUGAAACUUUUGGUGUGUAACAACAAACAAGAACCACAAAGUUGAUCCACUUUUUUCAACCCAAGAAAAAACACAAAAAAACUAAACUAAAGCACCAAAAGUCAGACGUUUGAUCACAGGACAAGAGCAAAGUUGAGUUGAGUUUCUAAAUGAGCUUAUGCUGUCACAGUCGAAUCAGUUAAAUCACUUAGCGAUAUAAGUUAGUAUUUGCCAUUAGUUAGAGAUGUGGCGGGAAGAGUGAAAUGGAUCCUGUAUAAACAAGAGCACCAUUGCGACUCCACAAGAAUAAAAGACAAUGAAAAUACAAUUUCCAGUGCUAAGCACAUAAGCGUUGAAUUAUUCAACGGGCAACUAAAAUCUCAAAAACCCAUUUCCAAUAUGUGAUGAAAGUGAUAGAAAUUGAAGGAUAAGCGUAAGAAACAAUAACAAAAUCAAUGGGCUAGGAAACCCAAAAGUAAAAAGCAGAGAGAGAAACUGACGGGAAAGCCAGGAGGUGGUGGAAUCUGCAGCAGACUUGCCAGAGUAAAUGGCCGAUAUCACAUACAAAGACGAGAAGAUGAUCCCAAUUAUUACAGUGGCGUAUAUAGUCACGAACACUGGCUUCGCAUUGUCAAACGCAUUCCUCCACCCCAUUGUUUCGGUUUUGGGAUUUGUUUGCUUGUUUGAUUAUCCUUCCCACGCCAUUAACAUCAUCUUCUUUCUUCUUUCUUCUGGGGAAGAAGAAGAAAGAAAACCCUAAAUCCAAAUGGAACCAAUCUGAAUCUGAGAGGUUUAUUUCACUUGUUUCUCUCUCAGCUCUCAGGCUCCCAACUGGUAAAGGUCAACUCCAGGCUGAGCCUCCAUGUUUGUCCCCUUUAUUUCUCAUUCUUUACUCUCUUUGCCUAUUUUUUACCAGUAAUAAGAGAAGGUUUGGUUUGGUUUAAUGUGAAUCUGUAAUCCGUGGCAAAAAAUUAAUAUAUAUUUUUUAAUUUAAAAUUUUCCAUAUGCGAAGGGAAGAUUCUGACAUAAUUGAUUGAACAGUUGAUUAUGAAAUAAUUGACUAAUUAAAAUGUUGAUUAUUCUGUCUUGUAUUUGGUUGGUGAAUGUACUCGUCCUUCAAAUUUUAUUUCAAUAUUUGACGUUUACUAUUUUGCCCUCGUGUGAAGAAUCCUAUUUUAGCUUACGGUCAUUUGGACCAAUUCCCGUGUUUAGAUAAAAAAAUAUAUAAAAAUAAAAAAAUUUCGCGUGGGAAAAAAACAUAGAAUUUGGAAAUCAUAAAUCCUAACUUUAAAUUCUAUCUCAAAGUUGCUCCCUAAGCCGCUGCAGUCGCUCCUGCUCCUGCUCCCGCGGCAGCCGCCGCCCCAACUGCCGCUCUUGCUCCCGCAGCAGUCGCGGCAGCCGCUGCAGCCACUCCUGCUUCUGCUCCUGCUCCUGCUCCCUAAGCCGCUGCAGCCGCUCCUGCUCUUGCUCCUGCUCUCGCGGCUGCAGCCGCUCCUGCUCCUGCUCCCUAAGCCGCUGCAGCCGCCGUCGUACCUGCCGCUCCUGCAACCACGGCAGCCGCUGCAGCCACUCCUGCUCCCGCGGCGGCAGCCACUCCUGCUCCUGCUCCUGCUCCUGCUCCUGCUCCUGCUCCUGCUCCUAAAAAGGUAAGAAAUUUAGUGUGCAUGAAGAGACUCAAACCUUGACCCUCAAAAGAGGAAAGUCUCGUUCACAAACCACUUCACCAAUCUUGUUUUUGUGGUAUUUUAUCAGUUACGCAAUAUUUAUAUUAAUAGUCAAUGGUUUGUUUUUUUUUAAAGAAAAUUAUUUCCUUUAUUUUGUUCAGUUAUUCCCAUAAUAUAUAUACAAAUGAUAACUUUUAAAUUAAUAUUUCACAGUCCCAUUCUAUUGAGGGAUCCCUCAAAUAAUUUUAUUUGAGGGACACCAUUUAGGAUACCCAACAAUUUUUUUUUCAUUAAUCCAAACCAUCUAUUUUUUAGGUCUUCAUUCAUAGAUCAUCCUUACAAAAAAUUAGACAAAUUGGAAACCGUUUCAACAUCCAAUUGUGUCCUACAAAAUCAAUGAACACGGUACUUUAAGAAAGUACUAAAAUUUCAAUAACUCAAUUGAAUGGUCAAAUGAUAUCGGAUUCAAGUGAUUUUUCGUAGAGAUGAUCUUUGAAUGUGUAUCUACAAAAUAGACAGUUUGGAUUAGUGAAAUACAAUCUGGAGUGGACCCUACAAGGGGUGUCCCUCAAAUAAAUUAUUUGAGGGAUUCCUCAAUAGAAGCUUUCUGUAAUAUUUCAAGGUUAUAUAUGUGCGUGUGUGUGUGUAUAUAUAUAUAUAUGUAUGGAUGAAUAUUUUGGAAAUAAUUUACUUUAAAUCGUAAUUAAAUUGGUACCUCUACCUCCUGAUUAUCGGGAGAUGGUGUAUUUGCAGGUGCAUUAUUCUCCGGGUUUGGAUGCAACAAAGUUUCUUCCGUGCUACAAACCAACAGAUUGAGAAAAUAUUUUCUAUCAGUGGAAUGGAAGCCAUGCAUACACAUGAAAAAGCAAACAGAUAAAAGAAAGCAAUCUUUUACAACUGUCUUGUUUAUUAAAGAUAGAGAGCUAGCUUAAUUAGCCACUCUCUCUCUAUCCGCUCGCACUUUAAUCUUUACAUUUUGCGCUUAUUGAAAUAAAGUAGAAUUCUCAUGUGAUAUGAUAUCCAAUAAAAUCUCCCUUAAUUAUUUCUUAAAAUUUCCAUCUCGUCUCCAUCCAAAAAUAAAUAAAUAAAUAAAGAAGAAGAAGCCUUCCUUUUGUAUUAUCUCAGACUAAAAAGCUGCAAAAAUAUUUAAUAUGCAAAUUAAUUAAGCAGCAUAUGAGCAGUGUAAUUCGUGUUUACCUUGAAGUAUUGGCGUUCAUUCGCUUAUUACUUAGUCUUGAACCAACUAAACAGAUAAGAAAUAUGGCAGGCAAAAGGGAUGCUUUCAAAGGACUAUCAGCAUGCCGAAGGCAGUAAACAUACUGAACUAUAGAGCAAAUGCACUGUGAGAUGCCAGCAGCUAGUCCAUAAAUGUCAGGAAGAGUACCAAAAGGCGCAUGUCGAGGAGGUGGUGGAUGAUAAAACCACCAGAGCAUUCCCCGUCUCCUCAACACAACUCUUUCCCUUUUACCUCUGUAAAUUAGCUCCCCGAUGGAAAUGAACACAGCUGCAAUAGCCAACAACAUACCAAAUAGUGCAAAGUGGGGUCUUCUUGGGGAGGAAGCCUGAUCACAAGCAGCUGACAAGAUCUCUAGGACAAGGUAAGUGGCUAAAAAUAUCCACUCUACUGAUGCUGAAGUAGGCCUCAUCCCUGGAACUCAAGGAGGGUCUGUAAAGAUUACUACUAGGUGUUAAAGAUGGGUCAGAAGAAGACUGAUCUCCACGAGGAGUAUUUGUAAACUAGGAAACCAAGCCAGUGCUUUUCUUUGAGACAUAUACCUCUGGUUGGUUGCUGAGAAAGCAGAGGAAUUUAUAUAGAAAAAGAAAGGAACUUUCGAAGAUGGAUCCUCUGUUUUCUUUCUUUAAUUAUCUGAUUUACAUCCCGCCUAAACUGAAAACAAUGAGAAGAAGAUGGCCCACAUGGUGUCAUGGGUUUAGUGGAGAAGAGGUUCUAGUGAGGUAGUGUUUUUGCUGUUGCUUACUGGUUCAUUUGGAAAUGGAGGUGUUGUUCUAUCUUUGAGCCUCAGUUCCAAAUGCCUUGUCGUCCUAAUCAGAGUAUUGUUGAGUAUCUUCUGGAAUGGGAUAAGGCUAAUAAUCUUUUAAAGAAGGCUACCUCUCAAACUCAGAUGUUUCUUGCUUGGCAGCCUCCUCCUUGUGGCUUCUCUAAGCUUAAUAUUGAUGGUUCUAGAGUGAGUGCCUCUGGGUGCAUUGCUGCAGGAGGUAUAAUUAGGAAUUCUGAGGGUAGCUGUAUAGCAGGAUUUUCUGCUAAUCUUGGUCAUGGUGAAGUCUUGGUAGCUGAAGCUUGGGCUUUAUAUUAUGGUCUUAAUCUUGCUUGGUAGAUGGGUUUGCGCCAGAUAACUCUUAAUUCUGAUUCUGGCCUUGUUGUUGAUAUGAUUAAUGGAUAAUGGGUGGACUCUCAUCCUAUGUCUGUGUUGCUUACCAAGUGCAGAGAGCUUUUGAAAAGCCAGUGGAAUUGCAGCAUUCUCCAUGUCUAUAGGGAGACCAAUUUUACUGCUGAUUUUCUAGCUAAGAUGGGUCAUCAUAAGGAGUUGGGUUACCAUGAGCUCUCUUCUCCCCUUGAUAUGAUGCAGCCUAUUUUAGAUGAUGAUAAGAAUGGUCUGUUGAGGCAUGGAUUUGUUUCUGUGUAAUCUUUUUGUUCUAGGCUUUGCCCCCUAUUUUACCAACAAAAAAGAAAAAGAAAAAAAGAAAACAACCUUGUCAAAGCCUUUUAAGGUAUGAUACCUAUCCUACAUCUCACCUAUAGCGUAGACUUGACUAAAAUUCACAAAAAAUGUAACGGUAUGACCAAUUUGCCGAUUAAUAUAAAGUUGGUGGACCAUUUGAACGAAUAGUUUAAUUGAGAGACCAAAAUGCAAAUCGGGUAUAAGUUUGAGAACUAUUUGAGUAAAUAACCCUAAAGAAUCAUCUGUUUUAGUACAUUUAUUUCUCAAGGGCAUUAAGGAACUUUCAAAAAUUUACCCUUCUUUUGUCUUAUUGGUAAGAAGAUAACAAAAGCGAUUGAUGAAAAAACAUUUAUGAUAGAUUAUGGAUCCUAAAACCCAGAAAUUAUGGAUCCUAUUUUAGCUUAGUCUCAAUCUUUUAAAUGUUUCCAUUUUUUAACCCUUUUGGAAAUAUUAAAUUUGUUACGUUCCACAUCAAUUUCUUCGUUACAUGCCACUAUGUGACAAAUGUAGUUCUUAUCUCUCACAAUAUUUACAGAAAUUUGAUGUUUUAAUUAGGAAAUCUACUUUCCUUUUUUUCAUUAUGAAAAAUUUGACUUUUGUUUCAAGGGUGAUGUGUCAACUUUAAAUCCUUUGGAUUGAAAUUUAAAUGAUGUGGCGUGUGGGGAAUGAAAGUCUAGCAUAUCCUAGUAGAGAAAUUCAAAGUAGAGGAUCGGAAUUCUGUUUUGCUUAUGAUUAAUUUGAUCGGUACCUGAUUCUCAUCCCCAUGGGAGCACCCAUCCAUUAAGAGACAUAAUAUAAUCAUGAAUUAAAAGUGAUUAAUAGAUUCAAUUAAUAAUAGGAAGCUUUCAUUUUAAUAAAAUAUAUAUUUUACUAAUUUGGAAGAUAGGAAUACAAUUUCACCUAAUUAGCAGAGGGUCAAACACCAAAAAGUAGUACCUAAUUUUAUAAUAAUGUAAUUAAAAAAAUAUCAAAAUUACACAAAAUGCCACUACUACGAAGUCAUGCCACAUGUCCACCUCCGUCAAUCUUCCUUUGGCCGCAACUGCUGCGGCAGGUCCAGAUACUGCAGAUGUGGCAGUUGAGGUAGAUGCGGGAGCAGCUGCAGUCCCAGCUCCAGAUACCGCAGCUGUGACAGGUCCAGAUACCGCAGCUGUGACAGGUCCAGAUACCGCAGCUGUGACAGGUCCAGAUACUGCAGCUUCUUCAGAUACCGCAUGUCCAACUGCGGCUCCAGCAGCGGCUCCAUCACUUGUUGCUGGUAACCAACUAUAUUGUCCUCAACCUUUAAAAAAAGAAGAAAUUUAGUGUGCAUGAAGGAACUCAAACCUUGACCCUCAAAUGAGGAAAGCCUCAUUCACAAACCACUUCACCAACCUCGUUUUUGUGGUAUUUUUUCAGUUAUGCAAUAUUUAUAUUAACAGUCAAUGGUUUUUUUUUCUUAAUAAAGAAAAUUAUUUCACAUAUGGGCCUCCUCUUUGGCCUAAUUCAAAACAAAAUUUGAUUCAUAGAUAUUAAAAUCCAAACAGAAUUACUCUGUCUCAAAUCCUAAUUAGUUGUUAUGUCUAAUACCUAAUUUUUGUUUAUUGUAUUCAAUCCCAAUGUGGCCUUCCCAAAGUGGGCUCCAAAUUGACAUUCCGUGAUACAUAUGGGACUUCAUCAUCUUCAUCACGUAGGCCUUCAUAUGAGACUUCAUAACUUAAGCCUUUUGGAUACAUCAUGCGCUCCCGAAACAAAAGAUAUGUAUAUGUAUAUGAUAUGUAUACAAAUACAAUGAAUAAAUAAAAGAUAAAUUUCACUUUACUAUCCAGAGAAAGAUAGAAACAUAAUUUCCUUUAUUUUGUUCAGUUAUUCCCAUGAUAUAUAUACAAAUGACAACUUUGAAUAUUUCAAGGUUAUAUAUGUGCGUGUCUAUAUAUAUAUAUGUUCUAUAUAUGUUCUAUAUAUAUAUGUAUGUAUGUAUGUAUGAAUGUUUUAGAAAUAAUUUACUUUAAAUCGUAAUUAAAUUAAUACCUCUACCUCCUGAUUAUCGACAAAUGGUAUAUUGGCAGGUGCAUAAUACUCCUGGAUUGGAUGCAACGAAGUUUCUUCCACGCUACAUACCAACAGAUGGAGAGAAUAUUUUCCAUUAGUGGAAUGGAAGUCAUGCAUACAUAUGAAAAAGCAAACAGAGAAAAGAAAGCAAUCUUUUAUGACUGUCUUGUUUAUUAAAGAUAGAGAGCCAGCUUAAUUAGCCACUCUCUCUCUAUCCGCUCACACUUUAGUAUUUACAUUUUGUGCUUAUUGAAAUAAAGUAGAAUUCCCAUGUGAUAUGAUAUCCAAUAAAAUCUCCCUUAAUUAUUUCUUAAAAUUUCCAUCUCGUCUCCUUCUAAAAAUAAAUAAAUAAAUAAAUAAAGAAGAAGAAGCCUUCCUUUUGUAUUAUCUCAGACUAAAAAGCUGCAAAAAGAUUUAAUAUGCAAAUUAAUUAAGCAGCAUAUGAGCAGUGUAAUUCGUGUUUACCUUGAAGUAUUGGCGUUCAUUCGCUUAUUACUUAGUCUUGAACCAACUAAACAGAUAAGAAAUAUGGCAGGCAAAAGGGAUGCUUUGAAAGGACUAUCAGCAUGCCGAAGGCAGUAAACAUACUGAACUAUAGAGCAAAUGCACUGUGAGAUGCCAGCAACUACUCCAUAAAUGUCAGGAAGAGUACCAAAAGGCGCAUGUCGAGGAGGUGGUGGAUGAUAAAACCACCAGAGCAUUCCCCGUCUCCUCAACACAACUCUUUCCCUUUUACCUCUGUAAACUAGCUCCCCGAUGGAAAUGAACACAGCUGCAAUUGCCAACAGCAUCCCAAAUAGUGCAAAGUGGGGUCUUCUUGGGGAGGAAGCCUGAUCACAAGCAGCUGACAACAUCUCUAGGCCAAGGUUAGUGGCUAAAAAUAUCCACUCUGCUGAUUCUGAAGUGGGCCUCAUCCCUGGAACUCAAGGAGGGUCUGUAAUGAUUACUACUAGGUGUUAAAGAUGGGUCAGAAGAAGACUAAUCUCCACGACGAGUAUUUGCAAACCAGGAAACCAGUUGUUGCUCUCUCAAUUUCCACAGCUAAUAAGCCAGUGCUUUUCUUUGAGACAUAAACACCUCUGUUUGGUUACUGAGAAAACUGAGGAAUUUACAUAGAAAAAGAAAGGAACUUUCCAAGACCGACACUCUGCUUUUUUUUUCUUUAAUUAUCUGAUUUCCAUCCCGCCCAAACUGAAAACAAUGAGAAGAAGAUGCUAUAGUGUUAUGGGAUUAGUGUAAAGGCAAUAAUGGAAAGGAGAGAGCUUCUUGGAAAAUCGCUGUGUGGUGGAGAAGCUCUUCCGAGGUGGCCCACACGGUCUAUCUUUCACUUUCCCAGGUGGCCCACACGGUUCCCUCCUUUUCCACAGAAGAAAGCAAAGCUUGUAGUCCCAUAUGAAAAUUCAGAGAGCUGCAAUUCAUCUUUGUGGAGCCCAAUUCAGAGGGACACAGGAGCAGAAGAAGAGAGUGUUUUGACCAACUGGUUUCGAUUUGUGGUGCCGCCAUGGCUGGCCGGCUUUUCAGUCCACUGUAAAGUUGGGUUUUUUAGAAUUUUAUGGGUGCACUGAAUAUAUCAAUGGGUGCGUGUAUAAUUUUCUGUUCUCCACCCUUCUCUGUCCCGUGGUGCCGUUGACUCUCCUAGUUCUUCUCAUUUUCUAAUUUCAAUUCUGCUUCUUAUAAGCCUCAGAGCUUCACUGAGCCCAGGUAAUCGUCUAAUCUUCUUUUAGUUGCAGAUUUUUUAAAUCAACAUUUUAUUUCUCAGGUUUAAUUUUGCGGUAUAAUUUAAGGUGUUGUUUGAUUAGUAUUAUUAUUAUUUUGUGCAUCAGCUCCUCAAGUUUUUCAUCGCGGUUUUUGGAAAUGCACGUCUGAUUUGGCUGUGGAUUAUGAAGGGGUUUGUUGGUUUUCAAUUAAUAUUUUAGCUUAUGGGAUAAUUAGAGCUGCUUUAUCAACAUUUAAAAGGAUAAAAGAAACGAUCGAGAUUCCAUUUCAUUGCCUUUCCUACUCCGAUUCUCAAUCCCUUAAGGCCUGUUGGGUGGGCUGGCUUCGACGUGGGCUUUUCUCUCCCUCAGCCUCCUUUGCUUUCGUCUCUAGUUUGAGCGAGCUUCUCUUUUCUAAAUCCCUUUAUCUUAUUUGCUUUCUCCACCAUGGUUUCAACGCCCCUAUGCGUCUGCUGUGAUUUUAGCCACUGUUGCAAGGUGGCUUCUUUUUCUCCAUUUCAUGGCUCUUUCCAAGACUAACCAUCAUGUACUUCCAGGCAAUUGGGCCUUCUGGGAGAGUUUGAUUGUAUAGGCUGAGGCUGAGUCUUGUGCAUUUGAGGCUCUUUCCAAGUCUUUUGCAGUUAGGUCUUUUACUUUUAUGUAUGCAUCAAUUUUGUUUGUAUAUCACCUUCUGUGUACCAAUUAAGCUGUUUUUUAAUUGCCUAUAGUGAACCAGUGCCGUAUGGAUUUAAUUUUGGGAAGGAAAUUGUUGGGAAUGUGCUGGUAGCUCCAUUGAGUUCAUUCAGAUCAUUGCUAAUUCCUAUUAUCUAGCCUUAAUGAUAUGAAUGUCCAUGCUUCAUCUGAGUUACCUGAUAAAAGUCUACCCAACAUGUUAAUAGACUUGCUAAUUUUUAUUAUCCAGCCUUGGUUUACUUUAUUGGGCUGCUGAGUCACUAAUGUUGCAGUAACCAUAUAUGAGUUUGAUGCAGUUGCUAUUCCCAUUGGGUCAAUGGUAUUAAACCUUUCACUCUUAACUUAAUUUGUUGUCAUGAAUCAUGAUCACCAUCUUUAAACAUUCAUGCUUCUUUAUUUUUAUUAUUUUUGAAUAAGUUGUGUUCUUUGAUGCAAUACAACAACAUAUGAAUGAAUAAUCUCUGGCCUUUUUUUAAACUUUCAUAUUGGGGUCUGCCAAUAGCUCAAUCAACUCUUAUGCAAACUCCAGAAUGCUAAUAUGAGGAAAUGAAAAUAUUAAGAAAUGAUAUACAAAGGUGCCACAAUCUUUAAAGCUGGAAACUUUGGUGUGUAACAACAAACAAGAACCACAAAGUUGAUCCACUUUUUUCAACCGAAAGUCAUACGUUUGAUCACAGGACAAGAAUAAAGUUUAGUUUAGUUUCUAUAUGAGCUUAUGUUGUCACAGUCGAAUCAGUUAGAUCACUUAGCGAUAUAAGUUAGAAGUUGUCAUUAGUUAGAGAUGUGGCGGGAAGAGUGAAAUGGAUCCUGUAUAAACAUGAGCACCAUUGCAACUCUACAAGAAUAAAAGACAAUGAAAAUACAAUUUCCAGUGCUAAGCACAUAAGCGUUCAAUUAUUCAACGGGCAAAAAAGUUAAUGUGAAUUUGUUAUCCGUGGCAAAAAAGUUAUUAUUAUUUUUUUAAAAUUUAAAAUUUUCCACCUGCCACAGCUGCUUCUGCACCUGCCGCAGCAGCCGCUGCUCCUGCUCCUUUAUGUUGCUCUCAACCUAAAAAGGUAAGAAAUUUAGUGUGAAUGAAGAGACUCAAACCUUGACUCUCAAAGGAGGAAAGCCUCGUUCACAAACCACUUCACCAACUUUGUUUUUGUGGUAUUUUAUCAGUUACGCAAUAUUUAUAUUAACAAUCAAUGGUUUUUUUUUUUUUUAAUAAAGAAAAUUAUUUCCUUUAUUUUGUUCAGUUAUUCCCAUGAUAUAUAUACGAAUGACAACUUUUAAAUUAAUAUUUCAAAGUUAUAUAUGUGCGUAUGUGUGUAUAUAUAUAUAUACAGUAUAUAUAUAUGCAUGAAUGUUUUGGAAAUAAUUUACUUUAAAUCGUAUUUAAAUUGGUACCUCUACCUCCUAAUUAUCGAGAAAUGGUAUAUUUGCAGGUGCAUAAUACUCCGGGAUUGGAUGCAACGAAGUUUCUUCCUUGCUACAAACCAACAGAGUGAGAAUAUUUUCUAUAAGGGUAAACUUGGAAAACAAAAACUAACUUGUGCGAUGCAUUAAUGACAUUGUUUUAAGUGUAAGGAAAAUGACACUUGUCAUAAGGAGAAGGGAGAAGGUCCAAAAAAGAAUGUUAGAGAAAAAAUUGCUAGCAUUUCUCUUAUAUUAAAAUACAACAAUGCGCUGUCAAAUACAGCUGUAACAAACUAAUUAUUUUCUACUUUUAAUAUCAUCUUCUUUGCCUAUCACUACCAUUUUCAAAACAAAAGAAAAAGGAUCUGCGACCCAUCAUGGGAACAUAAAGUUUACACACGGUUUGGUUGCACCUGAGAUUAAGAAUUAAAGAAACAAGGGUCAUAUCAUCUAUUCAGCACCCAUUUUCAGGGAAUCAUGCCAAAAAUCAUGUGCCCAUGCUUAGUUUCCUAUCGGAGUCGAUUUUAUCUGUUUACACGCUAUAAAAGAAGCCAAACAUACACUUGCGUAUUUGACACGCAAGAAAUCUUUUGCAAUAAUCUUCACUCAUUUGAUUUUCAAAUUUUAAAGCGAUGCCCAUGAUUUUCACCACAUAAAACCAUUAUAACAUUGUCUCUUUUAAUAAGGAAAAAUAACAAAAGGAACAAAGCAAAAUCAAGAGGCAAGACUGAUGGAUGGGCCAUUAUUUCAAUUUUAGUAUUUAUAUUAAUUAUAAUUUUUGUUUUCUUGCGUUGCAUUUUAUUCUUGGAUCCGGUAUCUAUAUAAUAAAAAACACAAGAUUGGGUCCAUUCAACCCGCCAACCCCUGUCCGAAUAGAACCAUACGGUGGUACGUGUCCUAAGACCGAGUGGGCCCCUCCAAGCAGCAACCCCCAUAUGGGACCCGCCCCAGGUUCAUAUGAGAACUGUUGACUCAAACUACGCUUUCCACGAGCGAAAGACGCCGGGCCAAACGGGAGCCGCUAACGCGUCCAUCUAUCUUGGUUAUAUCGUAGUUGGUUCAACCUCACUAGAAUCUUGUUUUUCUUGCAAAUUAGUUCUAGAUUGUUAUAAAAUAACCUGGGAUAUGUGUGAUAAUUCAGAGCUGCACGUAAAGUAGAUGAGACACAGCAUUUAACGAGGUUCGACUAUGCCUACGUCCUCGGAGAGCAGCAGCAGUAACUUUUCCACUAUGUAAAAUAAUAGGGCUACAAGUUUAGUGUUUACAAUAUAUGUAGCUCACUGAAUUUUCUCUCUAGGAGAAUUUCUCUCUGCUCUCUCUUUCCUCUUUCUUUCUCUUUUUUCUUCUCUUCUUCUUUCCGUUUCUCUUCUUAUUUAUAGGCUGAAAUAAUCACUAUUCAUCACUGUUCACCCGUGACAGACAAACUCUAUCAAAGCCGCCAAAUGAACAGUAAUGAACAGUAACUCUAUCAAAGCCGCCAAAUGAACAGUAAUGAACAGUAAUGAAUAGUUAGUGGGCUCCACAUGUUUAUUUUUAUUCUUUUUACAACACUCCCCCUUGGAGACCACUAAUGAUAUGUCGGUUGUAUCAUUGAAGACUUGCUUGGAGAAAACCUAGUAAGGUAGAGAACUGAUGGAAAGAAGAGUACAACAAUUUGUAUAGCAUACUUCUGGAUGCUCCCCCUGAUUAAUAUCUCCCCCUGAUGUCUUCAUGACUAUCUUUUGGAUUGAGAAUCUUUCGGAGUGAGUGGAUGAUGUAGCCACCAACAAUUCAUAUAGUAAAUAUAUUUCCAGUGAGCUAUCUCUAUGUAAAUCAUAGAAAUUUUCAGAGUCCGCAUAUCUAAUAACGCUUGGGCUAUUUAUAAGUUCACUUGAAAGAAUAUGCCCAUACAUGGUGUUAUGCGGAAAUAGCAUCAAAUAUACCUCACAUCAUCCCAAAAUGAUGGUGAUGGAGUUGAGCCUUAUCUGAAAAUAUGAUGUCCGGUCCAACAUACUUCCGGAAAAUCCUUAAAGUGCCCAACGGAUAAUCCUCAUAAAAAUGCUUCAAUACUUUCUUAGUAUAAGCAAGUAUCUCGUUGGCAUAAUGCUCGAUCUUUAAGUCGAGACAAAUAUUUCUGGAAUUCUUGAGAAGCUUUAAUGUGUUGCAAACGCAUUAUAAUCAAUAUACUCACUGAGGCAAUUUAUGUACAUUAACAUUGAGUACAGAUUUUGUGCUUCAGGCACAUGUCCACAGACUUGCUUCAUGCAAUUUCAAUCCUUUCAAGGAUUUUGUUUAAAGGGAUUAAACUCUAUGACACAUUAUAUAGCUUUAACCCAGCUAUUUAUACAUCUUUAGGGAAUCACUUCAGGUGAUAUGCUCUGUGCAUUUAAUAACCCUUAAAGAUAACAUGUUGGUCUCCGUAAAUGUGCAAUAAAGGGGCACAAUUGAAUCUAUAAAUAUGGAGAAAACCCAACAUCCCUUGUUUAUGUCAAAAAACAUUGUGUCAUACAAAGUAGGUAUAUUCCCUUUUUAUUCCGAACACCCAAGUAUAACUUUUAAUAUUAACAUCUUUUAGGGUUCGUACUGUGGGUUUGUUCUUUCACGUUCAUUCUCAUCUAUAAUGGAAUUGCCUCAUUUCAUUUUGGCCAAUGAUAUUGUCGACAUUUAAUAAUUGAACGUGGUUCCAAUCAACACAGCUCAUUGAUGAUUUGAGUAGCUACUCCAAAAUCAAAAAUUUGUCAUUCAUCAAUUUAUGAUCCCACCAUUCUCAUGUGCAUGCGCAUGCAUCAAUUAUAAGCAUUUCUUUGCUUUUGGGUACCCAAGCCACUGCAGGGGGCUUUUAUUAUGUGAGAAUGUAGAUUAUAACCUCCAAUGGAGCGUUAUUUUAUAGCAGGGCGUGGAUAAUCUCCAUUUAGGGAGUUGGAACAUUUAGAACCCAUAUAUCUGUCAUGCUGCAGGCAUGACACAGAUUAAUACAUACAUGUCAAUUAAUUUAUGGGACUUUAACCCAUAUAAUUUGCUACACAUUAGGCGUGCAUAAUAUCAAUAUUGACAUGUCAAAGGAUUGUCCUUUCGGGACUUCAAUCCACAUCAUUUGCUACGCAACAGGCGAUUAAUACAUACAUGUCAAUUAAUUUAUGGGACUUUAACCCAUAUUAUGGGACUUUAACCCAUAUAAUUUGCUACGUAUUAGGCGUGCAUAACAUCAAUAUUGACAUGUCAAAGGAUUGUCCUUUCGGGACUUCAAUCCACAUCAUUUGCUACGCAACAGGCGUGCAUCAUAUUGAUCACUGCUAUACCCAUAUUCUGUUCUUAUGGGACUUUAAUCUGUGCAGUGUAUUAUCAAUGUAUCCAACUUGCAAUUUGUAAAAUUUGCGUUAAUAAUUCAUGGAUACAUACAAGCCAUUCUUUUGGAACGGACUUAUCUCCCUAUUUGGUUACCUUUCAAGAUAAAAUAUCAAAUAAGUAUAUAAGCAUAAAACAACACAAGUAUUGCUUACAUCUUAGGUGGGAGAAACUUUUCUCAAGUAUCAUUCAAGCUCGUAUCGGUCCAAUAACGCUUGAUGAUCUAGUUAUAUCCUGCAAGAGCAAAAAGUCACAAUUCUUCUCUCUGUCAAAAAUAAAUAAAUAACCCUUAGAGUUAGGAUCACCGUAUGGAUUCUUUCUUUGGAUGUUCGUUCUAAAGAAAUAGAAUCUCUUAUGAACAGAGAGUUAUAAAAAGAAAGAAAAGAUACAAAGAUUGUGAUAUUGAUUGCAAGGUAAGGUAAGCAAUCAGGGAAGGAAGCUGGUGGGAGCAGACAACAUGCUCAGCAAUCAAGGAAGGAAGCUGGUAGGAGCAAACGACAAGCUCUCAUUUCUUCUAGUUUAGAAGAACUUCCGGAGAUUAGAGCAUAAGGCCGCCUUCACAGUUCCCUGAUCUUGCAGAAACAUGAUCAGGGAUAGUCUUGCUUCCUGAAUGGAUGAUCAGAGAUAGUCUUGCUUCUCAGGCAUAUUAAGUGUUUACUGAUAAGAAAAACAAGUAGAUAUCGCAUCACUAGGUAUGGAGUAAACUGGAUGUCUUCUGCAAAGAAAAUUUCGUUAGUAACACAUUUAUACACAAAUACAAUGAAUAGGUAGAACCGGUGAAUUUCAAAUUAACCAUAGGAAAAUUGCGAGAUUCUCGGGAUGCUGUUGAAAAAGUGCGAGAUUCUCGGGAUGCUUUUGAAAAAGUAGCUCCGUGAAAUCCGUAAAGCAAGAUCGGCUUUGAAAAUAAUGCUUGAAAAUGCCGAAAGUGCCGACAGGCAUUAUUAGAGGCCACGUGAAGUUUUGAACUCUAGGAAAGAAAAAGAUAAUAUGGGGAUUCGAGAAGAUAUUGGGGUCCUGAAAAACAGUAGCCAUAUUUCCUCCUAUAGAUAUGGCCUUUGUAAAACUUGAUUGGAGCAACUGCGUUUCAACUCAAAUUUCUUCAUUUUCUGAAACUUUAGUUUUCCUAAGACUUUCUUCGAAACCUUCUCAAAAAUGGCUUCCUCUUCUUCCUGCCCAAAUUAUUUCAAUUUAAAUGAUGCUCCAACAGCAAACAGUGACGCCAAAGUUUGGCGUCCAUCCUUUGUAUCCAAAAAUCGUCAUCUCACAGUUAAUGAUUCUGUGAUGAUGAAUGAUGCUACUGCUGUCAUAGUAGCUAGGAAUUUCAUUACUCCAAUGGAUGAAAUACUGUUAACAGGGAGGUCUGAGGAAGAGGCUAUUGAUGACUCAAUGGCUUUUAGCAUUCAGAGUGCUGCUUCUGUUUCUAACAUGGCUGAUCGUUUGCGUGUUAGAGCAAACGAGGUUGAGAAGCUGACAACUGAAAAUUCGUCUCUCCAAAGAAUGCUUCAUGAGUCUCAACAGGAGGUUGAGAAACUUAAAGGAGAGAAUAAUUCCUUGUUGAAACUGGUGAGUUCGUACUCAGUUGAUACACUGAGAAGGCUAGACAUGCUGCAGGUCUCCAAUGAAAGAAUUUUGGGAGACCACGAGAAGCUCAUGGCUAAGCUUAAGAGGCGCCGUCCUCUUCCUUCAGAGGCUUCCAGAACAUAAUGUAAUUUUAUAGAUUUUACAGGGCCUGCACCUUCAUUGCAGGUGGAAAAAAUCUAUCUGUUGUAUGUUUCUGUAAUAAUAAUUGCGCACAUUCUUAAACUUGCACCUGUGGUUUUUACGUCUUUUCAAAAUGACGGUUUGGAACCUUGUGCCUUAUAGGUUCAAAUAACCACUUUGUCUCUCCCAAAUUGCAUGGUAGCCCGGAACUUUUGGCCUGGGCACAAACUCAGAAUUUAUUUGCCCUUUUCAAAUGGACAUGAAAUAUGAAUUGAGUAAAAGCCACGAUAAUAUCGCAAUAUAGUAGUGAAGAGCAUUAACUACUAUAUACCCACAACUUCAAGUUCAGGAUCUCUCAUAUAUUUGGAUCCAUGGGCUUCCGGCCCAGGUAUAAUAAAAUAUGUGGGGAGCCUCAAUUCAUUAUUUGAGGUUUAUAUUGAUAUUAUCCAUUUCGCGGUGUAUUCUUAACAACCGGAAUUCACAAAAUAUAUUUCUUCCUUGAGGUGUCGAUUAUAACAGAAUCGAACUUUAUUAAAUUCAUCAUCUUCUUAUGUCAAAGAAAUAUGUGGUGUACCAUAAUUUGCAAUAAUACCUCAAGGGUUGUCCAUUUAAUUGUUGGAACUUCAGGUUCUCAAUACUCUUAAAUUUUGAACUUCAGGCCAAAGCCACAUAUUCUCAUGGUAUGGACAUUUUUACAAUUUUCUGUACAUAUUCUGGGACUUCAAGCCCUUACAUAAUUGUCCAUAUUUUGAGGAACUUCUGGCAUCUCAUUUAAUUUCUCAUCCAAUAGUACUGUUCAUCAAGUCAUGAAUACAUAUCUAUUCAUGUGUACAUGAAUUUAAGGAACUGCAGGUUCCUUUUUGUAUAUAGUGACGGUUUAUCCAAAAUGGUUAAUAUUUAUGCAUACGUCACUAUUCAUGUGAAUAGUACUGUUCAUCAAGUCAUGAAUACAUAUCUAUUCAUGUGUACAUGAGUUUAAGGAACUGCAGGUUCCCUUUUGUAUAUAGUGACGGUUUAUCCAAAAUGGUUAAUAUUUAUGCAUACGUCACUAUUCAUGUGAAUAGUACUGUUCAUCAAGUCAUGAAUACAUAUCUAUUCAUGUGUACAUGAGUUUAAGGAACUGCAGGUUCCCUUUUGUAUAUAGUGACGGUUUAUCCAAAAUGGUUAAUAUUUAUGCAUACGUCACUAUUCAUGUGAAUAGUACUGUUCAUCAAGUCAUGAAUACAUAUCUAUUCAUGUGUACAGUACAUCUGCCAGUACAGUUAUCAUCCAUGGCUCAUAUUUAUGCAUACGUCACUAUUCAUGUGAAUAGUACUGUUCAUCAAGUCAUGAAUACAUAUCUAUUCAUGUGUAUAGUAUAUCUGCCAGUACAGUUAUCAUCCAUGUGUACGGCACUAUGAACCAAUACGGUACUAUUACAUCAUUAAGGAACCCCAGGUCCUUAUUCACAUGUCAGGGAUCAAGGACCUUUAAGUCCAAUCACAUGUUUACAAAUACAGUACCGGAGAGACUGCCAGCUCUCAUUUUAAUAUCAUCAUCAAGGAUCUUCUAGUCCUGAUGUAAUUGUAUGAUGAGGAUCAAGGAACUUCUGGUCCUGAUCUGCUUACUGUAAAAAGAACUCAUCAUACAGCACAUUUAGUCCAUAAAAUAAAUUACUGGUAUGGACGAUAAACCCGCACCAUACAUUUAAAUAGCAGUAAAGGCGUGGACGAUAAACCCGCACCAUACAUUUAAAUUUCAUAAAGUAAAGUGUUAGUAUUAGCAACGGUCUCCCACUGAUAAUAUGUUUAGUAUUACCAAGGGUCCAUUUUUGUUAAUGGUUAGUAAUAGAAAAGCAGAUAAAUAUAGUAUAUUAUGUUACACUACUACAAAAAAGCAAAAAGACGACGGUAAAUCACCGUCGUGUAUUCGAUUUUUCAAUGGUCGUGGAAUCCACCGUCAUCUUUUCCCUCAUAUACCACGACGCUAAAUCACCGUCGUUGUUAAAAUAUACAACGUCAUCAACAAAUACAAAACGACGUCUUUGUACUGCAAAAAGAUCUAAAAAAGCAGUCGAGGAUGAGAAUAGACGACCAACUCUCUAAAAAAACCGUCGUUAAAAAGGAAAAAUAUGACACAUAUUAAGAGAACAAGGCCGCAAGAUAGACAUACAACGACGGAAAUAAAAAAACGACGCCGUUAAAUAUCAUUUUCACGACAAUAAAAAAUUUGACGUCUUUAAAUACAUUAGAAGACGACGUUAUUGAUACCUACUACGUCGCAUAUAUAAAAACAGCCAUCGUAAAAUUAAUUUUCCACUUCGAUUUUUCGAUAAAAGAUGACGUGGAAAUAGUUGUCAGUGUCAUUAUUUACGACGUAUGUAUUUAUUGAGUAGACGUUGAAAAACGAAACAACGUCGGUUACAAAUAUAUGAGAGUCGUAUUACAAAAUUUAUACGUCAUAUUUUCAGAAACAAACAACGACGAUAAAUAUUAGACGUUGUUAAAUAAAACAACGUCGGAAAACAAUAAAAACAGACGUGUUUAGUCUGCUAAAGUUCUAGAAAAUAGUCGAGGAUGAGAAUAGACGACCAACUCAAACAAAUCACCGUCGUUAAAAAGGAAAAAUAUGACACAUGUUAAAAGAACAAGGCCGCAAGAUAUACAUACAACGACGACAACUAAAAUUUUACGCCGUUAAAUAUAAUUUACACGACAAGAAAAAAUAUGACGUCUUUAAAUACAUGAGAAGACGACGUUAUUGAAAUAUACUACGUCUCUUAUUUACAAACAACCGUCGUGAAAUAAAUUUUCCACUUCGAUUUUUCUAAAAAAGAUGACGUGGAAAUAGUUGUCAGUGUCAUUAUUUACGACGUAUGUAUUUAUACAGUUGACGUUGAAAUGCGAAACAACGUCGGUGGCAUUUAUAUAGUCGACGUUGUAUUUAUAUCUAUCAUCAUUACUCACGACGCACUUAAUAAUAUAGACGACGUUGAACUUCUAAACAACGUCGGUUCCAAAUAAAUGAGAGCCGUAUUACAGAACAUAUAGACGGCGUUGAUUAUGAUGAGAGCCGUAUUACAAAUAACGUCGUUUAAUUGUUAUUAGACGGCGGUUAUAAUGAAUUUCCGUCGGAAUUCAUUUCGUUCCUCUUCGUUUAUAAAAGAACUUGCGACGUGGAAAAUGUAUGAUGACAUCGUAUUUUUUAACGUUCAGAUUAUAUAUCUCGUUUUUUAGACGUCGGUAUUAUGGGAUUGGAGUCGUGUUAUUUUGAAUUACAUGGCGGUUCUUAAUCCUUCCCCGACGUGAUAUCCUGAAUAAUUGCUUCACAAUAGCGUCGUGGUUCUUCAUUGUUACGUUGCUUUAAGACGUCGGUAAAUAUGCUGAAUAACUGAUUCACAAUAACGUCGUGUUUUAUUUGAACGUAGAAAGUGAAGAAAUCACAUUACAAUAUAUUACAAAAUUAAUGUCAUACACUGCCAAUUACAUAAGCAUCAUUCAAUCCAUAUAUCUUCACACCCAUCUCGAAUAUUUUGACCGCCUAACUCACCCACCAGUUCAUCAAAUGUGUCAACAUUUGGCAUCCCUCUAGUAAAUGGCUCACACUCAAUUAUCACAUCACCUAAGACUUCAUCACCAAUAACAUCAUUAUAUUCUCUAUUAGGCAUUGAUAACACUACCGACCAACCACGAUGCAUCGGGUCGUCAACAAAAAAUAUUUGUUUGACUUGAGAAGCCAAAACAAAUUGGUCAUUCCUAUGUCCAAUUUUACUCAAAUCUACAAGGGUAAAUCCAAGUUCGUCGACUACAAGACCAGAACUAUCUAUCCAAUCACACCUAAAGACUGGAAUUGUAAACUUUUGGUAGUCAAGGUCCCAAAUUUCUUGAAUGACACCAUAGAAACCCAUAUUUGAGAGAAUUGGGUUUUUAUCCUUGGCACUAGCAACUUGCAUGGUAUGUGCAAGUAAAUAAACUCCACUAUUUUGAGUUGUCCGCACAUCAUCUUGUGCCUUGAUAUUGAAUUUAAUACCUUUAAUAAGAUAGCUCCUAUAUAAUGGCACUGACAUGUUUGGACCAGCUGCUAGCCACCUUAAAUUUUCUGAUACGCCAUGAUUGUCUUCCUCAACUUCACUUUGAACCUGCAAAUUAAUCAUAUCUUAAUUCAUCCUAACAUAUAAAUAAGAAGAAAAUUAAAAGAGAAAUACGUUAUUCAACAACAUAUACCUUGAAGCGUAGCCAUUGAAUGAAAGUGCUAUUGUGCUUAUCCUGCAGCCACUUUGUUCUCUUUCUAAAUUUUGGAUAAGCAGUCUUGAUGUGAAUCAUAUGUUGCCUACAUGACACGAAAAAUUCAAGCAUUACGGUCCCAAAUAUAUAAGAUAAACAUAAGAAAUAAUUUUAAAUGGAAACUUAAAGAAUAAAACUCAUACGUACUCGAUAUAAGGUAGGACUUCCUCCGUAUUCUCCAAGACAUAUAGAUGUGCUUGAUUCAACAGGUCCUGAUCAACUACGCUCACUGUGCAACCUGAUAAUGGCUUUGAAACUCCCAUCUUUUGGCUUGAAGGCACUCCAACUGUACUAACAUCAGAUAAAUGCUGAGUACAAAACUCUACCGCUUCUUCAGCUAUAUACCGCUCAGCAAUGCAACCUUCGGGACGAGUACGAUUCUGAACAUACCCCUUCAGCACUUUCAUAUAUCUUUCAAACGGAUACAUCCACCUAAAAUAUACUGGCCCACAUAGACGAACUUCUCUGACAAGAUGUACUACUAGAUGAACCAUGAUAUCAAAGAAUGAAGGGGGAAAGUACUUCUCAAGCAAACACAGAGUAACUACUACAUCUUCUUCCAACUUAUCUAGCUUGGAAACAUCAAUGGUCUUUGCACAUAUAGCAUUGAAGAAGAAGCACAAACGAGUUAUUGCAUACCUUGCAGGCUUCUCCAAAACAGAACGAAUUGCCACAGGGAGCAAUUGUUGCAUUAAGGUAUGACAAUCAUGUGAUUUAAGGCCAAGAAGUCUUGAAUCUUGUACAGAUACAAGAUUUUUAAUAUUUGAAGAAUAACCUUCAGGGACCUUCAUACCAUAGAAAGAAUUGCAAACCUCUCUCUUCUCUGCUCUUGACAAAUUCCAAGGCCCAGGAGGCAAACGAGUACGUCUUUCUCCAUACUCGGGUUGCAAAUCAGUUUUGACCCCCAUGUUCAAUAAAUCUAAUCGAGCAGCAAUCCCAUCUUUAUUUUUUCCAGGGAUCUCCAGCAAUGUACCAAUGAUACUAUCGCAAACAUUCUUCUCAAUGUGCAUAACAUCUAGGGCAUGCCUUACAGGAAGGUAUUUCCAAUACUCGAGAUCAAAGAAUAUUGAUUUCUUCUUCCAACAAACUCUGUCACCAUUUUCAACCAUAUGCAGCACUUCUUCUCCGGUUAAUGGCUCGGGAGGUAUGCCAUAUUCAGGUUUCCCAUUAAAAGCUGCACGUUGCCUCCUAUAUGGAUGAUUGAUUGGUAACCAUUUUCUAUGCUCAAUGUAACAAAUUUUGUGGCCAUUUUUCAACCUGUGACUAGGUGUAUCAUCGCCGCAUAUUGGACAAGCUUUAUAUCCUUUAACAACACAACCAGAUAAGUUUCCAUAGGCGGGGAAAUCAUUAAUUGUCCACAUUAAUGCAGCUCUGAGUGUAAAGUAUUCUCCAUUAUGUGCAUCAUACACUCCUCUAAUCCCAACCCACAAGGAUUUUAAAUCAUCAAUCAAAGGCUCCAAGUAGACGUCUAUAUCAUUUCCGGGUUGUUUAGGACCGGAAAUCAAUAAGGUUAACAUCAUGAACUUUCGUUUCAUGCACAGCCAUGGAGGGAGAUUAUAUGUAACUAAGAUAACCGGCCAACAACUAUAUCUGCUACUUAGAGAACUGUGGGGAUUGAAUCCAUCAGAUGAAAGAGCCAAUCUCAAGUUUCUCGGCUCAUUACCAAACUCAGGCCAUUUAUCAUCAAGAAGUUUCCAAGACGGGGAAUCCGCCGAAUGAGACAUCUGACCGUCAAUUGAUUUUCUAGCAGCAUGCCACCAAGUCAAACUCUUAGCUGUCUCAUGUGAUUGAAACAUCCUUUUAAACCUUGGAAUUGGGGGAAAAUACCACACCACCUUCGCUGGCACACCCUCUUUCAAGAUUGAAUCUUUGCCUUCCUUCCACCUUGAGAUACCACAAGUAGGACAAUUAGUUGAAUCCUCAUACUCCUUCCUAUACAAGAUGCAAUCAUUGGGGCAUGCGUGCAUUUUCUCAUAACUCAGCCCCAAUGCACACAAAGUCUUUUUAGCCUCAUACAUGGAGGUUGGUAUUGUAUUUCCUUCUGGAAGCAAAUCGCCUUGAAGUAUCAAUAAUUCUGUAAAACAGACAUCACUCAUCCCAUGUUUUGCCUUCAAAUUAUACAACUUCACUAAUGCCGAUAACUUCGUGUACUUUCUACAACCAGGGUACACUAGUUGAUCUCCAUCCCCAAUCACAUUGGCAAACUCAUACGGAUCUGAACCAAAAUCACCAAAAUCAUUAUCAUCCAUAUCAAUUUCUUCAGACACAAAACUGUACCUACUAUGACCAUCAUCUUCUUCAACAUUUCUACUAGCAUUAGUAGUUGCUUCCCAAGGUUCUCCGUGAAAUGUCCAAUUCUUAUAGCUUUGGUCAAUUCCAUUAAAGUAUAAGUGAUCCCUUAUAAUUCCAACCCCAAACAACUUCAAAUUAACACAUUUAACACAUGGACAACGGAUAUGUGUUGUAGUUAGAAGAUUUUCUACAGCAAAGUUCAAAAAUGCUUCCACCCAAAUUCAUAUGCCUUCGAUCUUCUAUCCGAGUGCAUCCAUGACUUAUCCAUCUCCGACACUAUAACCUAUUAUCUAUAAUAAAGUGAAAAUACAGGCAAUGACCAUCACUAUAGCAGAUUAUACAAUGAUCUAAUCGCAAGUAAUACACAACAGAGACGACGGGUUUUAAACAAAAACAGACGUAUUUGGCAUAUAUAGACGACGGAUUUUCAACAGACGUCGUCUAUUAUAAGUAAUACAAACGACGGUUUAUGAAAAAACCGUCGUGUAUAAGUAAUACAACGACGGUAGUUUAAAAACACCGUCGUGUAAUCGUCGUCGUAUGCCUUAAAAUUCGUCGUGUCUCAGUUUAUUUUCAAGAACAUAAAACCCAUUAAGAACACAACAUAUAUAUGAAACCAAGCAAGAAACCAACAUAUACAUGAAACCAAGCAUGAAAACAAUAAAUCCAUUCCCAAUUCAACAUAACAUAGGGUGAUUAAAAGAUACGACAAAAUUAAAUCCAUUCCCAAUUCAACAUAACAGAUAAUGUAAUCCAUGAACCCAUUAAACAGAAAAUCCAUGAACCCAUACCUAUAAGCACAUUAUUAACAGAUCGCAAAGCAUACACAUAAAACCCUUUAACAAAACAACCUAAUAUAACUCGAAUCGUUACUAGAAUCAUCACUCGAAUCCCCAUCUUCAUUAUCAGUUUCUUCCUUCGUAGGUACUAUUUGCUCCCCAUCAUUUUCUCCAUAGCAGAAGUGAGAGAGCGAAAUGUUAUGUCGCGCGAAAUCUGAAAAUUUUAGGUUUCAGGGUUCGAAGUAUAAGAAUAAGAGCCAAAUCUAAAAAAAUUUAGGUCGCGCGAAAAUUUUUAGAGUUCGCGCGUUUUAAAACGUCGAAAGAAAAACCAAGGCGAAAGUUCUACACGUACCGACGUAAAUUUAAUAUUCCACGACGGAAACUUCAUUUUUCGGAUUAAGAACGUAAGGCCGUUCAUUUUGAAGCUUCAUUUUUCGGAUUAAUUUUAAAUUUAUUUUGAAUUUUUUAUAUAACGACGACUGAAAAACCACGUCGGUGUUAAGAAAUUAAAGACGUUGUAAAUUAUAUAAACCGACUUACAUAUUAAAAUGACGUCGUUUAAAGCGUAAACCAUGUCGUAUGUUUUUCUGUACGACGUAAAAUAUGUAUUCCACGACGCAACCACCGUCGUUAAAAAUUAAUAUCCUAAACCCAUAAAACUAAAUUAUACAAUUUAAAAAAUUAAGUUUAUAAAAGGUUUUAUGGUUUUAAAGCCUAACAUAUACCCUAGACUACCCAAAAAUUAUACUUUAAAAAUAAACCCCAAUAAAUAACAACCCUAAUCUCUAAACCCUAGACUCUAAACCCUAAACCAUAAAACUAGAAGUGAUUUUAUGACUCAUCAAAACAAUUUUGUUUUGGAUGGUCAUUUUAAAUUUUUGUUAUUCAAAAUGAAUUUUUUCAAGGUUUAUGUGGAAGAAAAUAUAUCAAUGACUUCAUAGGAGUUGACUUUUCAAUUUUCUGAUUUAUUUUAAAUUUAUUUUGAAUAUUUUGAUAUAAAAAUAAUAAAAUAUUCUUACCACAACAACAAACCACGUCGGUGUUAAUAAAUUGUAGACGUUGUAAAUUGUAAUAGACUACUAAGUCGUUAAAAUGACGUCGUUAAAAUGAGAAACCAUGGCGGCUAUUUACCUAUACGACGUAAAAUAUAUAUAUCAACCACUUAACCGCUGUCGUUACAUAAACGUCGUCGAUGAUACCCUGAACCCUUAAGAAAUUGAAGAUGUUGUAAACCAUAAACGACUGAAUUGUUCAAAGAACGUCGUCUAACUAUAUUUUUACGUCGUAUUUGUUUAAAACACGAAACAACAAAAUACGACGAUUUUUGACUUUAUUAGGUCGUUGGAAAAGUAUUACACGUCGGUUAAGCAAUUUGUAUGUUUGUUUUUUUUUUAAUUUAAGAAAACCUCAACAAAUUUUUACAUUACAUAUUAUAGAGAAAAUUUGUACAUUAUACAUAAAUAUCAAGUGUUCAAUAAUUGCCCUGUUUAAUAAUUUGGAAAACAAACUCUGCCCAUUCAUUCCGGACUUCAUCAAUGGCUUCUUGGGGGUAUGAAGCUUCCUGGUUUCCCUUGGCAUACUGCAUAAACAAUGACUAUUAGGGUUUUAAAUAAAAAGAAAUUCAAUCACAGACGACGAUAUUUUUCAUAACCGACGUAGUAUAUCCAUUCAACGACGUUAAUUUUACAUGACUGUCGUUGAUAAUACAAAAAACGACGUGAAAUGUAUGAAGGUAAUUUCUUCUUACCUUAUUCUCAAACCCCAAGGAAGGAUCCAUGAUGAUGUCCCUCAUGAAGCGCAUCACAUAAUACCCGCAUUCGACAUUGCUGGGUUGCUUUGGUGUGCCUGAGAGAGUUUUCCAAAUUACAUUUUUACGUCCUGCUCGGGCUAUGUGGGUAUUAUAUAUUUUUAAAGCACUGUUCACGAUGUUUUUGGCCUCUUCGUCGACCACACGAUGACCUGGCAGAGGAUCCAGAAAAUAGACGGUCUCCUUCUUUGCUCUUACAAUCAGCAAGAUCCAAUGACGGCUGCACAAAAUUAAUAUAAAAACGACGGUUAUUUACAAAAACGACGUAUUAUAGUAUUUCACACGACGAAAUAAAGUAGAUAACGACGACAUUAUAUAUUUAUCACGACGACAAAUAAAUACCGACGUGGUUAGUAGUUUCAAACGACUAAAUAAAAUAAAACACCGACGUGGUUAGUUUAUAAUCUGUCAUUUAUUGAAAAUCAUAAAAACAAAAUCCUAAGGAGACUAACCCUGGAUUGUAAGGCAUCAUGAAAAGCUGUUCACCGUCUGUCUUCUGAAGUCGAGCUGCUACCAGUCGUGAUCUUUCAGUUAUUGUGCCAGAGUUGGCACUAACUGUAGCAGGGUCAAUAAAGCCAACCAUGCUGCACAUAUUGGCUUGUUUCAAAACAUCGUGUAAGUACCUAAAUACAUAAAAUAAUAUAAACAAGUCAGCAAAAACAAACACGACGGUUAUGUAUAAAAAAACGACGUAUUAUAAUAUUUCACACGACGUACUGAAAUAGAUAAGGACGUUAUAAUAUAUUUAUCACGACGGUAGUUAGUUAAGACGACGUGGUUAGUUAGUUAAGACGACGCAAUAUAUAAACCAACGAGUUAUUAUCUUAGAAGUACAAACCUCAUAUAUACAGCCAAUACAGUAGCUCCAAUUUCUUCCAUGCCUGCAAAUUGUGUAAUAUCUUCAGGCAGGAGGAAGGUAUCGUGCUCACCACCAAACACCUCCAUAUCAAUUGUAAAUUGGAGUGUCUUAUCCUCAGGCAGGAGUGUCAUUUCCACAAAACGACAAAGGGUUUUUAAAGAAGAUGGCGCCUCCAUAUUUGAAUAAUCACCAACUUCAAUAACCUGUUUAAAGAAAUAAAAAAAAUGACGUGGUAAUUCAAUAAAGACGACGGUUUAAGGAAUAAAACGUCGUCUUAAAAGGAUUUAAACGACGGUGAAAAAACUGUCGUGGUAAUUCAAUAAAGACGACGGUUUUAUUAAUAAAGCGUCGUCUGAAACCAUUUAAACGACGGUGCAAAAACCGUCGUUUAAAUAUUUUAUUACGUCUUAAAAAAAGUCCGCCGUCUAAGUUUUAAACAAACGACGGAUUAUAUAAAAAUAUCGACGUCUGAAAUUUUGAAAAACAAAUAAAAAAGGCAAAGUUAUGUGAACAUACCUUGUCGUCAUGCUUUUCUUCAUCUUCUUUCUCCUUUUCUUCUUCCUUCUCUUCAUCUCUUUUUUCUUCUUCCUUCUCUUCAUCUGGCUGAUGUUUCCCCAUUUUGGCAGUAUCAUCCUCCAAAUGUAGGGAUCUCACAUAACCUCCAGAGCAGCUAGCUUUGUCAGACAUUGGAUUUUUGGGGCUUUGGCUAAUUCUUGGUUUAAGCAUGCUUGGAUCAAAAUUGGGAAUUAAUUGGGAAAGCUGACUCAGGAAAUGCUCCCUCUCAGCCUCUACCAAUUGUUUUGUCCUAGCCUCCAUCCUUAAGGCCUCUUCCCUUGCCUUAGCCUCCAUCUUUUUAGUCUCUUCUUGAAGGAGAACUCUUAAACUGUCCUUCAAACGGUCGUCAAAGCUCACCCUCUGUGGUUUGGGCAAAUUGAAAUAUUGCCUUGGGGAAACACCAGCACCAACUCCCCUCAGUCUGCAUGGAUGCUCGGGGCCCAAAGCCAUGGUCAGCACAUCAUUGCUGCCAUCUACUCUGACUUUGCCUUCCGAGACUUGUUUCUGCAAUUCAUCCUAAAAAAAGAUAAACAAAAAAACACACGACGGUUAUUUAUGUACAAACGACGUAUUAUAUAAUUUCACACGACGCAAUAACGUAUAAACCGACGUUAUUAUAACUUAUCACGACAGUAGUUAUACCGACGUGGUUAUUUAUUUAAAACGACGAAAUGAAUAAACAACCGACGUCUUAUGCUAUAAUUAAAGAUAACAGAGUAGUGAUUCCUAUUUAGACCGUUAACGACGUUUUUAAAAAAAUUUCGACGUGGUAAUAUCAUUCACACGACGCGAAAAUGAACCACCGACGUCUUAUGCUGUAAUUACAGAAAACAUAGUAGUGAUUCCUAUUUAGACCUUUAACGACGUUUUUAAAAACUUUUCGACGUGGUAAUAUCAUUCACACGACGAAAAAUAUAACAUACGACGUAAUAAGAAUAAUUCACAGUUUAAUAAAAAUUUAAAACAGAGUGAUAGUAGGCUUACAAUUAAUUUUGCUUUCUCUGCCACCUUUGGAUCAGGGAUGUUACCAUGUUUGUCCUGUCUAGCUCUCUUCCAUAAGGUAGAUCGAUCAAUUUCUACCCCAGGCAUGGUUUCCUCCAAUUGAUCCUCCAAUCCAGCAUAUCCUUUUCGAGACAAUCGAUGAUUGUACUCGAGUUUCUCCCUAAUCUGUGCAUGUUGAGAAUGCACAGACUCAAAAUCUUUGGAUAGCCUUGAAGCUACAAAGGCAUCCCAUUGUGCUUUCUCUAUGAAUUUAUAUGUUUCAGGGGGUUGGCUUAAUUUCUCCCUGUCAUUGGUGUAUGGAAGGAUAUAAUACCUCGUUAGUGUAGACUUGAAAUCCUUCCAUUUCUUGGAAGCAGAAGCUAAAACAGAGGUCUUGCCCCCUUGGCCUACGACAAAAGCCAUGUCAACUGCUUCCCAAAUCUGCUCCUUUAUAUCCUUGGGGAUUUGGGACCAUUUCUUGUCCACAAGUGGGAUCCUGGAGCGUGCCAACACACCAAUAUACGACUGCAUCUCAAUAUGUGCUUGGCCAACACCUUUCCCCCUUUUAUUGUACUCAACAAUUGGCCUCAGUUUCUGAAGCUUUCUCUUCACAACACGAGGCAUUGUGCUCAUACCUCGACCAGUCUUUGAAUCAUCAGAGAUUGUUGUCUGGCUGGUUUGUUCUGUCUCAGCAGAUGAUGAAGCAAACUUCAUCUUCUUCGAAGACUUCAUCUCCUUCGAAGACUUGUCUUGAGUAGCUACCAUUCCAAGCUUCUUGGAGCCAGAAUCCUUAGUUUGUUGUUGAGAAACCAUUUUAACAGACAAAACUGCAAGUGAAAAUAUUUCAGGAAAACAUUAAGAACACAAACGACGGUAUUAAAAAAAUACGACGUAUGAUAUGAUUUUAGACGACGCAAUGAAAUAAUCUCAGACGUAAUAAAUGUUUAAAACCAUUAUUUAUAUAACGUCGUGGUAUAUAUGUUCACACGAUGUCAAUAGUAAUACACCGUCGUGGUAAACUAUUAUUUAUAUAACGUCGUGGUAUUUAUGUUCAUACGACGUCAAUAGUAAUACACCGUCGUGGUAUUAACAUUCACACGACGUAAAACAAUAAGAUAUUUUGUCGUCUAUAUUAGAUACCAACCCUAGUUUCUUUUUCUUUAUAUUUUAUCAAAUAAGGGAAAAACAAAAACCAUUGUUCAGAGAAAUCAAACCUGCAAUUAAACAAGCAUAUAAAAAAAGACUAUUAUUUUAAAAACAACUUUGUCAAUUUUCAGACGACGCUAGAACAACUGACGAACCGUCGUGGUCUACCGUCGUCUUAUUUAGUUGAUGUAGUUGUCUUCAAAGUUGGAAACUUUCCCUCUUUGUCUGUAUAUUUUAUCAAACUUGGAAAGAAGUAAAAUGAUUUUGGCCAGAAAAAAGGUCAAAAGAUUUUUCAAACAAAAAACGUAUGAGCAUGCAAAACAGUAACCAAAAUAGUGAAAAUGAAAGCUUACCUUUUGCAUGCAAUGAAAGCAAGAGGAAGAUGAUCGAUGUUUAAGUUCAGAGACGACGAAGAAGACGAGAGGAAGACGAUGAGAAACUCUGACAAUGCUCUGACAAGGAAAAAAGACGAAAAGGUUUCUCUGGGAGAUUGAAAUUUUUAAUCGGGUUUGGAAACAGUGCAUAUGUAAGUCGAAAAGUUGCUUACAUAUAAAACCAUUUCAAAAAAAUAAUACGGCGGUUACAUUUAACUACGUCGUUUUUAACUAACACGACGCAAUAUUUUUCGUUCGACGUGGAAUCAUUUCAUUUAACGUCGUUAGGUUUAAUAUAACCGACGUGGAUUUUAAUUUUUAAAUUAUGAAAAGAAUUUUUUUUCCCGUGACCUUUCAGUUUAUUUUUCAAUUACAGUGCGUUAUAAAUAGAGUUUUUUUUCCGGAGGAAAUUUAAAACGAAGGAAAUUAAUAUUCUGCAAUAUGUAAAGUUUCUUUUUUGGAUGACAGAUUUAAAUAAAAUAAGAAUAUAAAAACAACAAAUGUGUAAGUCAAGUAGACGAAAAGUUGCUUACAUAUAAAACCAUUUCAAAAAAAUAAUACGGCGGUUACAUAUAACUACGACGUAUAAAUUACAAAAUACGACGGUACAUUUAACUUCGGACGUGGUAAAUAAAUACGACAGUAGUUUGUAGGUACCGUCGUAGUAAACUCAAAAAUUAAAGUACAUAAGUAAUAACUCGCGUCAUGGUAUAUUAUUUAACACGUCGUUUUUAUUAAUUUACCGACGUGGAUUUCUGUAAUAUACGUCGAUCAUACCGACGUUGAUUUUACAAUUUAAACGGCGGUUGUUUUGUAAGGACCGCCGUUGGUUUUAAAAAUUUAUUCUAUAAAUUUGUCGCUUUCAUUCAUUUUCGGUUUACAUUUAAGGUUCCAAGUUCUUCCUCUCUCAGUCUCUCAUGUCUCAAAGAUAAUAAUUUGGAUGUUUACUAGCCUUCUCACUUCCUUGAUCAAGCCUGAUAGGACACUUAGUGCUUCUGAAUACUCCUUGCUUUCCAUCAAAAGAGAUGCAAGCCUGGCCUCCACUCGCUGUCGAAGGAAAGUUCGCUUCUCAGGGAAAUCUGAAGAUCAGAUGUGCCUGAUCCUCUGCUUGAUUUUCUUGCCUAAGAAGAUCCGUCGGAUUUGUGAUAGCCUCUUCCUUUAUCCGUAGAGCUUCAGAAGAAGAAGAUGGGUUUCAAGAAUGCGAUAAAGAAUAGAAAUGGCUUCAGAUGGCCUCUAAAGCAUGAGCAAUUGAAUCAGUAGUUUCUGGGAGAUAUGAUGAAGACAUUGUCAAUGCUUUGAACUACACAAGUCCUGCAGAAAGAUAUGUUAAAGAAACUGAAACAACGGCGGUUUUCUGUUCUACCGUCGUCUUUUCUCGUCGUCUAUAUUAAGUUAAGAUGGCGGUAGAUUUAUAAUUACCGACGUAGAUUAUUUUGUUAAACGUCGUUAAGUGUACUACAACCGACGUGGAUUUUAAUUUUAAAUUAUAAAUAGAGUUUUUUUUCCCGUAUUCUUUCAGUUUUAGUUUUCAAUUCCAAAGCGUGAUAAAUAGAUUUUUCUUUCCCGAGGAAAUUUAAAAUGAGGGAAAUUAAUGUUCUAGAAUUUGUAAACUAACACGACGCAAUAUUUGCAAAUCUGUGUCAUCUGUUAAGAUUAUGAUGUGGAACAGAGUUCCAUCUGGUAAGAUUUCGUAACCCUUGGGAUCUCAGACAAAUCUGAUUAUGUCGGCGGUGUUCUAUAUAAACCGUCGUGGUUAUUUCAAUUCUUGUCAUUAAGUAGAUCUACCGACGUAGGAUAAGAAAAUCAAAGAAAAAAAUUGUUAACAAAAAUUCUUAUUAAGACGACCGUUAAAAUUAAAGGUACGACGUAUAAAAUGAAUAAAUACGACGAUAAAUUUUAUUGUACGAUUUAAAGAUAACGUCGUAGAACUAUACGAGAAUGACGUCGUUAUAUUUAUAUUUUCCGUCGUUGUAAAUUAAUUUAAUACGGCGAUAUUUUGUAUUUUAAAGCCGUGGAUUUGUUUGUAAUUAUACGGCGUCUUAUACGAAAACCUCGUCGUGUUAUUUUAUGAGUAAAAACGGCAGUUUUUAUUGAAAUCGUCGUCUUUACUUUCUACGUCGGUCGAUUCAUAACUUCUGCCGUUCUUUGUUGGCAUUGAUUUUACACUGCGGAAAUCUGUUUCAAAUAGACGUCGGUUGUUUAAUUAUGUACGUCGUUGUUUUUGAACAGCCAUUUGAAACUCCAUUUUUUAGUUGUCUAAGGUUGUAUUACACGACGGUGUUUUUAGAACCGUCGUCUUUUUAUAAACCACGACGGUUUUCACUUAGACCGUCGUUGUUUUCUGGUCGUCUUUUUCACUUUUUGUAGUAGUGUUACCAUCAACUUUUCAUAUAUAUAAUAUAUAUAUAUAUAUAUUAUACUGAUAUAUUAGUGGAAAGCUAGAUGCGUUGGCUUUUCUUCUUUACAUCAACAUAAUGGUUAUUAUUAUAAAUAAUAGUGCAGCACAAAAAUUAUACCUGAGAGCUUCUCGUGCUGAUAACGUGUUAUAAAAUAACCUGGGAUAUGUGUGAUAAUUCAGAGCUGCACGUAAAGUAGAUGAGACACAGCAUUUAACGAGGUUCGGCUAUGCCUACGUCCUCGGAGAGCAGCAGCAGUAACUUUUCCACUAUGUAAAAUAAUAGGGCUACAAGUUUAGUGUUUACAAUAUAUGUAGCUCACUGAAUUUUCUCUCUAGGAGAAUUUCUCUCUACUCUCUCUUUCCUCUUUCUUUCUCUUUUUUCUUCUCUUCUUCUUUCCGUUUCUCUUCUUAUUUAUAGGCUGAAAUAAUCACUAUUCAUCACUAUUCAUCACUGUUCACCCGUGACAGACAAACUCUAUCAAAGCCGCCAAAUGAACAGUAAUGAACAGUAAUGAACAGUAACUCUAUCAAAGCCGCCAAAUGAACAGUAAUGAACAGUAUGAAUAGUUAGUGGGCUCCGCAUGUUUAUUUUUAUUCUUUUUACAACAUAGAUGACAAUUUUUUUAAAGUACAAUCUACAUAACAGAAGAUAUUUCCCAGGAACUGUUUUUAGAAGAAAACAAUAUUUUAACAGUUGUGGAAACUUAAAUGUUCUCAAAAAGAGAACUGCUUUUUCCUAUUUACUUUUUAUUUUACAGUUUAUUACAUCCGAUUACAAAUGCAAAAGCAAACAGUGGAACUAAUUCCCUUCCAUCCUAAUUAGUAAUUCCCAACCAAACUAUGUACUAGAGUCUUCUAUUCUUUGUUUAAUUCCAUUUCAUUGCCUUUCCUACUCCCAUUCUCAAUCCCUUAAGGCCUGUUUGGUGGGCUGUCUUCGACUAGAUCAGUUGGGCAUUGGCGACAUCUAUGCACCAACGUGAGGGGGAGUGUUGGCGUGACUUGUGGAUAUUGACUUACUUUCCUUACACACCAAGAAUUCCUAUUAUAAUUGUAAUUGAUUUACUUUAAUUCCUGAUUUCCUACUGCAAAUAGAUUUAGGAAUUUAUUAUUUACUUCCCAUUCAGGUUUCGUUGUAUUAUAAAUAUGACCUCAUACAAGGAGAAGAAUACACAGAAAAUUCCCACAAACAAAUAUUCUCUCAUAGUUUUAAUAUUUUAGCAUGAGCGAGCUUCCCUUUUAUGAAUCUCUCUCUCUCUUAUUUGCUUUCUCCAUCAUGGUUUCAACGCCCCUAUCUGUCUGCUGUUGCAAGGUAGCUUCUUUUUCUCCAUUUUCUUAUCCAUUCGAGUUUGAUUUUUCUUGAUUUCCAUGUUUAAUUCUAACAUUUGAACUCCGUUGAUUUGGCUGCUUCAGCCUCCUUUGCUUUGGGUUGUUUUUUCUCUUAUUGGGUACGCACUGGAACGUUAAAUGGUUUUGAGGAAAUUUCAUGGCUUUGGGCAAUUGCGACUCCACAAGAAUAAAGGACAAUGAAAAUACAAAAAUUUUCCUUCAAAUUUUAUUUUAUUAUUUUGUGCUUACCAUUUUGCCCUCAUAUAUUAAAGAAUCAUCUGUUUUAGUACGUUUAUUUCUCAGGGGCAUUAAAGAACUUUCAAAAUUUUAACCCUUAUUUUGUCUGAUUGGUAAGAAGAUAAUAAAAUCAACUCAUGAAAAAACAUUUAUGAUAGAUUAUGGAUCAUGAAACCCAUAAAUUAUGCAUCCUAUAGUCUCAAUCUUUUAAAUGUUUCCAUUUUUUAACCCUUUUGAAAAUAUUAAAUUUGUUACGUUCCAAGUCAAUUUCUUCGUUACAUGCCACUAUGUGACAAAUGUAGUUCUUAUCUCUGACAAUAUUUACACAAAUUUGAUGGUUUAAUUAGGAAAUCUAUUUUUUUUUUAAUUAUGGAAAAUUUGAGUUUUUUGUUUUAAAAGUGAUGUGUCAACUUUAAAUUUUUUGGAUUGAAAUUCAAAUGACGUGGCAUAAGAGGAGUGAAAGUCAAGUAGAUCCUAGUAGAGAAAAUCAAAGCAGAUGAUCUGGAUCCUCUACUCUGAUUUCACUGCUAUGAUUUGCUUUACUUUUGUUCUCCAUACGCCAUCUUAUUAAAAUUUAAUAUAAGGGAUUUAAAAGUUGACGCAUCAUCCUAAAAGUAAGGCAGAUCAUGACAGAGAAAAUCAAUGCAAUGGAUCCAGAUCCCAUGGGAGCACCCAUCUAUUUAGAGACAUAAUAUAAUAAUUAAUUAAAAGUAAUUAAUAGAUUCAAUUAAUAAUAGGAAGUAGAUGCCACUACUUAGAAGUCAUGCUGUAAGAAAAUUAUAAUAUUUAUAUUUGAUUGUUUAAUAAUUGAAUGGAAAUUAAAUUGUGGGACUCGUGACUUUAAGUGCAUAACUUUUACAAAUUGGUAUGUAUUUAUUGAGAAUAGUCAUGUUCUUAACCGAGGAAAUAUAAAAUAUUAUUCAUUUUGUUUGUAAAAUAAUACUACUUUAUGUGAUAAGUUGCAUUGUUUCAUAUAUGAAUAGUUGCAUUGUUUCAUAGAAAUUAAAACAUUGCAUCUUGGCUUAAGUUGCAUUGUUUCAUAAUAAAUGAAACACUGCACUUCUUAGCUUAUGGUUGCAACAUGAAACGACACAUUUGUUGAUAUUUUUCAGUCACAUCUUUUCUGAACAGAGGCCUUAUUGCCUAUAAAUAGAGAAGAUCCUACAACAUUUCAUUCAUCCAAUUAUCAUCCCAUAGUAGUUUUUAGAGCAUUCAUAGCAUUAUAUUUUUUAGAAAUAUAGUGAGUUAGUAAGAGACAAAAUCAUACACAAGUUUGAGUUCGCUUUUCUUGGAGGCAUGUCCACCUCCAUCAAUACGCCUUCACUACUUGCCUAUGUCGCAGGAACUUCUGCUACUCUUGCUCUUGCUCCUGCUCUAGCUCCAGCCGCCGCUGCAGCUCCCACCACUACCGCUGCUUCUGCUGGUCAUACUGCUCAUGCUGCUCCUGCAGCCACAUCUCCAGUAGCUGAUGUUGCUCCUGUGGUUGCCGCCGCUGCUCUAUGUUGCCUUCAACCUCAAAAGGUAAGAAAUUUAGUGUGCAUGAAGAGACUUAAACCUUGACCUUGAAAGGAGGAAAGCCUUGUUCACAAACCACAUCACCAAUCUUAUUUUUGUGGUAUUUUGUCAGUUACGCAAUAUUUAUAUUAAUAGUCAAUGGUUUUUUUUUUUAAUAAAAAAAAAACAUAUGGGCCUCCUCUUUAACCUAAUUCAAAACAAAAUUUCAUUCAUAGAUAUUAACACUACUACAUUUUACGAUUUGCGCGAUGAAGAAUAUUUCAUCGCGCAAAGUUACUUUUAGUCGCACAACUUUCAGCGCGACAAAAAAGUCGUCGCGCAAAGAGCGUGAAGAAAGACGUUGCGCGACCAAUAUUUUGCAUUGGUCGCGCAAAACAGAGCGACGGUUAACCUUCGCUGCACAAAAGGUUUAGGGAUGACUCAAUUAUUCGUCGCACAAACAUUUGCGCGAGGACAACAUGAUCGUUGCGAGUACAUUGCGUGACGGAUAAUAUUCGUCGCGCGAUUAGUGUCGCAACUACUUGCGCGACGAUAUUUUUUUCAUUGCGCAAUUCGUGUCUCCAACAUCUGCACGACGAAACAUUCGUUGUCGCGCAUAUCCAUUUCGCGAGACGAAUGCUUUUGUCGCGCAAGAAUAAAAUAUUUGUAUUUAAAAUAUAGUUUUUCGUUUUUGUAUUUUGUAAAAAUGAAUUUGUGCGAUGAAAAACAUUUCGUCGCGCAAAAUUAAUAUGUAUAUUAUUUAAAUUUAAUAUUACGUUUUUUUUAAUUUUGUAAAAAAAUAAAUUUGGUUUUUUUUUUUUUGGUAAUAAAAUGAAAUUGCAAUAAAAAAAAAUGAAUUGAAGAGAACAAAAAAUUAUAUAAAAUAAAAUAAAUGUAUAUACAAGAGAAAUGUUUAAAAUAUAAUUAUGAAAAUAAAAAACUAAUCAAAUAAUGUUGCAAAAUCUACUUGGUCGUUGCCUAUAUGCGGCUCGGAGGUCUGGGAGUCCACAGGGGCAGUGGUCUGGUGGGCAUGCUCGCGGUGGACGGGAUCAGAGGUCGACGCAUCAAACUGCGGGACUGGAAUGCCGGACCUCACGAGGGACUGCAGAAUCACUGACAUCUGACCUUGCAGCUUGGCCACCUUUGCUGUCAAAGCAGUCACCUGACUGUUUGACUACGCUGAUGAAAGGGGCUUGGUUCCCUCCGCCGAGCAUUCCCCAUCCCUCGACAAUAUGUCCCCGGCCUCCUUCCGAGAGUCUGAUUCAACGUCUCCGUCAAGAUCUGAAACCCAGCAUCCUGUGGAGGAUCCACAGACUCGAUCGGAGUAUCGGGAGGAAGUUGGGAGGCGGACUCCUGAAGAACCAACUGGCUCCUCUCCACCAUCGUCGUCUGUUUAACAUAACAUAAAAUAUAAAUUAAAACAUUCAUAUAAUAACCCUGAAACUUGAAUGUGUAACAUAAUAAUUAAAAUUAAAUAAUACUUACAUGAAGGGUCUCGGCCAACUCAUUCCCAGGUCGAACAUAAACGUCGCCAAAGACGUCGAUCUCUGGGAAUUUGGACCCCUCCUAAAUUGAACAAGAGAAGAAAAAUGUUAGUAUGAAAAAAAUAAAUUAAUAAUAAUGACAUAUUAAAAAUUAAAUAUAAACUAUUUUAUUAUUACCCGCCGCCGUGCAUCCAUCCUAUAAGAGAAGGGCCUGGAACCUGAAUGGUGGAGAAGAGUCUUCUUCUUCCUAUUGCCCUUAUUGACUUUGGCUUUAUUCUGUUAUACCAAAAAAAAAAAAAACGUAUUAGUUGAAAUUGAAAUGAAAUAUAAAAAAAAUAAAUAAACAUUAGUAAAAAAAAUGUAAUAAUUUUGAAAUUAAUAUUAAAAAGACCACAAAAUCGGGCGCCUGAAAAUGAGCGUAGAGCCACGCCCAACUAUCCUGCCUUCUCUCAAGUUCCUUCGGGCAACCCUCCUGAACAGUGACUUGCGUAUCAUCAAACGCCUCAAAAUGGUGGUGCAAGUCGCUCUUCCACUGCUUGUACCUCUCAGCGAAGAGUCCGUUGACGUACGCCAACGACUCGUCGUCCAGGUCCUCUAAGUUGUAGUUCGUCUGCAAUAAAUUAAUUACAUACAUUAAGUAAUAGAAACAUAUAAAGUUUGAAAGAAAAAGAAUUAAAAGGUAGGAUACAUACCGACAACUGGCCGCGAACCACCGUCCUAAUCUCGUCAGGCAUGACCUUCCAAGACUUCCAUUGCAUCGGUCAAUGGGUCCGAACGACAUGACCAAUGUUGUGGGCCAAGGAGCUAUGCAACUCCGUCGUUAGUGCAGCCCGAUGUCGCUCGUCAUAUCCGAUGUUGAUACGAAUGUUGGUCACUAGGGUGACCUUCGCCGUCUUCAACUGCCGACAUGGCCCUUGGAUGUUUUUCUUGGCUGCAAAGAAAUAUGAUAUUAAUGUUAAAUAAACAACAAAUUUAACUAUAAAAUACACAAAGGAAAAAAAAACUGGAGUUGAAGGAAAUCUAUACCUGGCUGUGACCCCGACGCACCAAUAGCGUCGGUCGAUGUGGUGUCUGUGGUGCUUGGCGGCUAGCUGCCUAGCGCUAAUAGGCUGCGCCACUGAUGAAGCCGAUGACACAGGGGCCUGGGACCCCCCGGGACCAACUGGCAAGUGGUCCAUUAGUGCUGGAGCAGUGGCAGCAGAUAACGGCUGAGCUGGGGAAGGCGAACUCUGUGCAAUCCUCAGCGCCUUACGACUUCUAAUCUGGUUUGACAUAUGCAAAAUUUCAUUAAUACACAUACAAAUUAAUCAAAUUUAAGAAUAUAUAAUUGUAAGCACAUACAAUUUCAUUAAGAAUUUUAACUAAUUAAUUAAAAGCAUAGCUUGAUUUAGGGUUUGCGAUUUCGGAGUAUCCAGGACUCCGAUCCACGAUCUGUCGAAUCUUACACGAUCCUAGAAAUAUAAGGUACAGCAUACGUGAGUUUGAGUUCGAUCCAACGGUCUGAACAUAUCAAACCCGAAAAUCGCACAAUAGGCGAAAUUCGUUUGAGACUCAAACGGUAACCAAAUUCAAAUCCGAGCACACCUACGUGCUCGUGACAACUAGGGGAUUGUAUUGGGACCCAAUGCCCCACUGCUAUAGUAUCUCACGGGCCACCACACGCACCGGCAACGCGUGAGUGUCCAAAGCGAUAACAAUCGCCGGAAAAUUCUAAAAACUAAGGGCCAAGGUUCCUACCCUAGGUUCAAAACAUCAAUUGGAGCCACUUUUGUUCUCGGACCUACCCCGAAAAAUGGCCGGAAGUAGCCGGAAUUUAAAUUCAAAAAUUGGCCAAAACUAAGGGUUUCAAUUCUAGAAACCUACUGCAACAAUUAAUCAAAUCUUACCCAACAAUCAGCUAGAGCACGAAAAAUAGUCCAGAAAGCAUACCUGGGGCGUCGGAUUUGGUGGCCGGAGGAGAGAGAAUGAGGCCGGCGAAGAAUUUGUGAAAACCGGGGAAUUUUCGGCGGCAGACUUGACGGUGACUGCGGCAGACUCGACGGCUUAGAAGGUUUUGGCCGCCCGGUCCUUUUUCCGGCAGAGCAGUGGGUUGAGGUGACGGCGGAGAGAAGAGAGUUUAGGGCAGAGAGACAAAGGGAGGAAGAAAGAAGGUUGUCGUGUGUUCUGAAAAUUUAAUAGAUCUUGCGCGACGCAUAACACAUGGCAUCGCGCAAGGUAUGUUCAAUCGACCUUGCGCGACCGAAAAACAAUAAUGACGUCGCGCAAGGUCGAAUUUCAGCCCAAAUUUUCAUUACAUUGCUCCAAAAUUUUGGUCACCUUGCGCAACGAAUAAAACAUAGUGUCACGCAAGGUUGUUAUUCCGCCAAAAAUUUGGGGUUUAGGGUUUAGGCGGGGGAGAGAGAGACUGAAAGGUCUGACUGAUAUUGUGUGACGAAUAAACAGAAUCGUCGCGCAAGAAAGUGUUCUGUGCACUUUGCGCGAUGAAAAAAGAACCCUUCCGUCGCGCAAGGUUGUUAUUCCGCUAGAAAUUUGGGAUUUAGGGUUUAGGCGGGGGAGAGAGAGACUGAAAGGUCUGGCUGAUAUUGCGCGUCGAAUAAACAGAACCGUCGCGCAAGGUUGUGCUCUGUACACUUUGCGCGACGGAAGAAAAAAGAAUGCUUCCGUCGCGCAAGGUUGUUAUUCCGCCAUAAAUUUGGGGUUUAUGGUUUAGGCGGGGGAGAGAGAGACUGAAAGGUCUGACUAAUAUUGCGCGACGAAUAAACAAAACCAUCGUGCAAGGUUGUGUUAUGUAUACUUUGAGUGACGAAAUAAGAUCCCUUCCGUCGUGCAAGGUUGUUAUUCUGCCAGAAAUUUGGGUUCAGGGUUUUGGGGGGUGAGAGAGACUGAAAGGUCUGACUAAUAUUGUGCGACGAAUAAACAGAACCGUUGCGCAAGGUUGUGUUCUGUACACUUUGCGCGACGAAAUAAGGACCCUUCCGUCACGCAAGGUUGUUAUUCCGCCAUAAAUUUGGGGUUUAGGUAUGGGAGGGGAGAGAGAGACUGAAAGGUAGGACUGAUAUUGCGCGACGAAUAAACAGAACCGUCGCCCAAACCCUAAACCCUAAACUAGUUUCAAUGAUCCAACUGGCAAACUUGUUUUUUUAUACUUUGAGAUCAUAUACGCAGGAAAUAAGAAAAAACAAACAUUCAGAGUUCAAGUAACGAGACAAAACUUUUCGACGGUUAUAAAUGAAAAGUCACGAUUUAACGGUUAUUUUAACUCCUAUUUUGAUGAUUUUUUACAGCUACACUACUUGCCCCUAUAUGAAUACAAUGACCUAAUUUGAUCGUCAAUUUAAGAUAUUUACACUAGUGGAUACCACAUAAUCUUAUGUUAUAUUUAACGAAAGUAUAAAUAAACUCUUAAUUGUUGGUGAAUAUAUUGUUUUGAUGGCAUAUGCAUUCUACGAAGCUAGUUUCAAUAAUCUAACCGUCAAACUUGUUUGUUUAUACUUUGAGAUCAUAGACGCCAAAAAUCGAAAAAAACAAACAUUCGGAGAUUAUCAAAAUGGUCAAAUUGUUUAGGUCAAAUUGUUUCUCAUUUUCAUUUUUAAAAAAUGUUUUGUCAAAAUAAUUAUCAAAAGGGUUUGGAUAUAUUUAUUUACCAAUGUUUUAUAACUAAAUUUAUUUUAAUUUCUCAUUUUCUUGUAUAGCUCAAUUUAUUUCAAUGUUUCAUUUCUCCACAUAUAUAAGGUUUGGAUAUAACAAUUACCUAUAUUCAAACAUUUGUAUUACACAAAAUCUGUACACUAACAUAAUAAAAUUACAAAAAAAUUCAUUAUUCAUCAUCAGAACUAUAAUAACUUUCGUUAUCGUCGCUAUCAUCACUUUCGGUCUCCCAAUCCUCCUCCUCCUCCUCUAUAACUACCUCAUCGUCGUUGCUCGGGCCCACUACAAUAUCGUAUCGCGGAAGAUCACUGAGGUCAAUUGUAAUUGACUGAAUCGGUAUUUCGAUUGAAGACACUCCUUGUAUUUGAAAUGGUUCUUGUAUAACAUUUGUAUCUCGAAGUGUUUCCGCAUCAUUUUCCAUUGAAGAUUCCAAACGUUGGUCAGCCACGUUGUCGACGUCGUUGUUAGUUGGGUGUAGUUCUGGUAUAGCAUACACGUUCCUAUGAUCCAUCUUCUGAACAACUUUCCAACCGCUCCCGGCUUUAGGGUCAUCUAGAUACACAAUUUGUGUUGCCAUGUUUGCCAAAAUGUAAGGGUCGUCAUCAUACCAAGUUCUGUUAAUGUUCACAGAUAGUAAGCUAUGGUCGAUUUUAACACUUCCCGGCCUAUUUGGGUUGGUAUCAAACCAUCGACACUUAAACAUGAUCACUUGGUAUCGAUCUUUGUAAAGCAAUUGCACGACAGUUGUGAGUUUGCCAUAGAAAUCAAUGUCCGUACUUUUGCCUCCACCUGGGACAUGGACACCGUUGUUUUGUGUACACAACUUGUCAUCUCGUGUAGUCCCUAAAAAUUUGACGCCGUUAACAUUACAACCUGAGAACAAUUUAGCGCGAAUCUGGCCGAACGCCAAGUUAUAUAACUCAUCACUGUAAGUGGGGGAAUUCAAUGAUUUCAACUUAUUCACCUAAUAUUAUACAAAACCAUUCACAUGUUAGUUUGACAAAAUUAAAUACUAAAAUAUAUAUUUGUCAAAUACAAAACACUUAUAACUUACAGAAUCCAAAAACCAUUGUGGAAACAACUCACGGUGUUUCUUGGCAUACAAAUGUGGUGGAUGUUCUCGCUUCAUCAUCUCUUCAUGCUCAUCUAAGUAUGCCAUUAUCUCAUCACAAUUGCUCUGUACGAACCAAUGCGCUACCUCCAUGUCAUUUCUAGAAAACGACUCUCCUCAUCUAGGAUCUCCAAAGGGUCGUGCGCUUUGGGCAAAAACAGAAAGUUUUUUAUUUCUCAUAGCUCCGUCAUUAUUGCGCUGAGGACGAUUGAAAGCCAUCUCCACAUCUUUUAAAUACAUUCCACAGAAAGUAAGCGACUCAUAUUGAACCCAAGCCUCUAUAAUUGAUCAUUUGGGCUUCGCCCUGUUGCGUACACUUUUUUUCAGCUCUCCGAGAAGCCUGCCAAAAUAAAAUGAUAUGAUACAAAUUAGCAAGCGUGUGAUAAUGAUGCAUACACAAACAAUAAGGAUCAUAUACCUUUCUAUUAGAUACAUCCAGCGAUAGUUGACAGGACCAGCAAGCAAUACCUCUUCUAGCAAGUGAACCAUCAUGUGCAUCAUACUUGUGAAGAAAGCUGGAGGGAAUAUCAUCUCAAACUUACAUAGGACUUGGACAAUGUCAUAGCGCAACUAAAACAUGUCUAUCUUUCGCAAUGUUUUUGCCGUCAGUUGGAACAAAAAUCUGGACAACAACAAGAUUGGCUUCACUACGUCUUCCGGCAAUAGGUGUCAAAUACUCACAGGAAGUAGGCGUUGCAUAAACACAUGGUAGUCAUGGCUCUUAAGUCCAGUAAAUUUAUCCCCGUUAACAUUCACGCAACGUGCGAUAUUAGAAGCAUACCCAUCAGGAAACUUUACAGACGAUACAAACUUUAGAAACUCUUUUUUGUCAUUCGGUUUCAUAGAAAAAAAAUGCAAGAUUCCUUCUAGAUUUAUCACUCUCCCUAUUCUUCCAUAAACCCCUUCGUAUGCCCAUUCUUUCCAAAUCAAGACGAGCUUUGAUCGUGUCCUUUGUCUUGCCCUCGAUAUCUAGAAUCGUGCCCACCAAUAUGUCGAAUACAUUUUUCUCAACAUGCAUCAUGUCUAGAUUGUGCCUCAAUUUUAGUUUCGACCAAUAUGGGAGCUCAAAAAACAUAGGCUUAUGCAUCCAGUUCAUAUGUGUAGAAGGUCUGGUUCAACUAACUGUUUUCCCAAACGGAGAAAAAUCCAAACGGUUUCCAAGAUCUUAUCACCUGACCAUUCUCUAGGUCUGAGGUGACGCUCUGUGUUCCCGUCGAACUCUUUAUCUUUUUUCCGCCACUCGUGGUCCCAUGACAACCAUCUCCAAUGACCAAGGUAAUAAACUUUUCCAGCGUGCCAACCAGAAGUUACAUCUUCCUUGCAUACAGGACAUGCCAUGUAACCAUUUGUGCUCCACCUAGAAACCAUUGCAUAUGCGGGAAAAUCAUUCACAGUCCACAUAACUGCUGCCCGCAAAGUGAACAUCUUCCUAGUUGAUUUAUCGUACGUGCGCACACCGUUUGUCCAUAAAUCCUUCAGCUCAUCAACCAACGGCCUUAAGUAAACAUCGAUUGACCUGCCAGGAUCCUCAGUUAUCAAAACAGUCAUCAUCAUGUAUUCUUUUUUUUUUUUUUAUGCAUUUACAAGGCGGCAAAUUAUAUGGAAAUACGAAAAUAGGCCAUGUGCUAUAUUGGUUUAGAACACCAUAUAGAUUGAAUCCGUCGGUGGCAAGUCCCAAUCUAACAUUUCGAGGAUCAGCAGCAAACUCGGAGAACAUUCGGUCAAACUCUUUCCAUGCCUUCCCAUCUGCAGGAUGCCGCAUAACAUCGUCGUCUACCCGUUUUUCCUUAUGCCAUCUCAUGUCUGUGGUAGUAUGCGUCGACAUAUACAAUUGCUGCAACCUAGGUUUUAGGGGCAGAUAACGCAUGAAUUUUUAUGGGAUCUUAGUCGUUCUAUUCUGAGAUGUUAUUUUGAACCUCGACUCAUUGCAUAUAGGGCAUGUAUCCAACGUUUCAUGCUCUUUGUAGAAUAACAUGCAAUUGUUUUUGCAGGCAUGAAUUUUUUCAUAUCCUAAUCCAAGACCUUUCAACACCUUUUGCGCGUGUUUAUGGUCUUUCGGCAAACAAUUGUCCGUCGGAAGCAUUCUCUUGAAAACCCCCAAAAAGUAAUCGAAACACAGGUUCGACAUACGUUACUUUAUUUUUUCGUGCAUUAGCUCCACAAUGGCCGUCAGAACGGAAAAGCUCUCGCACCCCAAGUAUAACUCUUAGUUGGCAUUUUUUAACCAUUUUUCAUAUUGUUCAAACUCUGCACUGUCUUUUGGUGUAGGUACGUCAUCUUCCCCUUGCUAAUUGAUGUUGGUCGAUUCAAAUGGAAAAGCAUCGUGUAUAAUAUCCAUGACUUGAUCAUUAUGAUCCACAAUAGGUUCAACAUUGUCCACUCUUGUGGCAUUUGAAGACGGAGCAUGAUCUAAUUGUUCCCCGUAAAGUUUCCAAAUGCUAUAUGUCUCAAUCAUUCCAUUUCUUACUAAAUGAAAUCCAACAUUUUCAAUUGUCUCCCACAACGUGUUGUUACACCUCCUAUAAGGACAACGGAUUCUAGUUGCACCCAGGUUGUGUGUACGUGCAAACUCAAUAAAAUCCUCGAUUUCAUCCAAGUAUUCGUCUGCACAUCUAUUCGGGUUUUAUAUCCACCUCCUGCUCAUAAUUCCUAGAACCACAAUCACAACACAACAAUUACAACAACUUCAUAUGAAGUCAUAAUGUCACCUUAUGCCUCCGGUAAGGGCCCUAUCCCAUUUGGGAAUGUAUAGUCAUGUCACGUAAUGUAUGGCUACAUGAGAUUAGAUUUCUACGUAGAUGAAUUUCGACAGUAUCUCGAUACAGUUCUUGAGGUGUGCCAUAGGUAUAAAUAGCUACGUACCACCCGAAGAACGUACAGAGAUAACACCGAAAUCUCUAUAAUCGAAACCUAAUCCUGUAACCCUACAUUACAUGAUAUAACUGUGCAUUCCCAAACUGUCCAAAUAAUGGGACAAUUCAAGAAUUAAUUAGACUGCAGUCAUGCUUUACGCAUCCAUGCACGAAAUCCAACUAAUCUCGAACGGGAAACUAAGUGUUACCAAAAAUUAAAAUAAAAGUAAGAAGUUAAUUUCAAUUAACUUCGUACAUCACAAUACAUUGUGCUACGUCACGUACAAUUUAACAACGUAAUAUAAAUAUAACUUCACAAAAAAAAUAUAAACAUAACAAACUAAGUUUAACAUAAUGUAAUUAAUUUAACAUUUUUAAUACAAAAAACGAAUAAAAUACAUUCUCAAUCGUUCUCCACCAAUUGCUAAUUACAAAUAUCCCUAACGAGAACGUUACAUUAAUACUUUUAAACUAACGACAAAAAACACUUAUCCAAUGAACGUACUGAAUUCCUAGCAGAGGCAGCGGCAGAAAGGCGUGGAGAGAGACUUUGGUUUUUUUUUUUUUUUUUUUUUUGCAUUCUGCCUCUGUAAUGGCAGAAUUCAGAUUGGAGAAGAAAGACUUUGCGCGAUGAAUAGAUGAUUUCGUCUCGCAAACUGCCGUUUCAAAAAUAAAAUUUUCGUCGCUCAAAACGACUUUUUGUCGCACAAAAUAAAUUUUUCGUCCCGCAAGCACGUGCCGACAUCAUACUUUUGCGCAACGCAAGGGUUGAUUCGUUGCACAAACAUUCGUCACGCAAAUUCUAUAUGUCGUUGCCCAAAAGCAAUCUUCCGUCGCGCGAAAGCGAUCUUACAUGGCGCAAGAAUGUAUCGACAUCAAACUUUACGCGACAGACUAUAUUUCCGUCGCACAAGGCUUUGGCGCCAAAAAAAUAUCCCCACUCCAAUAUUUUGGUGCCAAAAAAAAAAUAUCUCACGUUUUUCUUACGCGACGAUAAAUCUUGUCCCCGUGCUAAGUUGUCUUUCGCGAUGACAAAUGUCGUCGCUCAAGGUUUUGCCACCAAAUAACAAAACCCAAUGUUUUCUGUCCACCUUUACACGACGAAACAUCCAACCGUCUCGCUAGGUUUUCUUGCGAGACGAUUUUUGUCGUCACGCAAGUAUUUGUCGCCAAAAUAAAAAAACCCACGUUUUUCUUCCUCACUUUGCGCAACGAAUAAGUUUUCAUUUGUGCUAAGACUUUUUGCGCCACGCAAAUUUUGGUCGCGCCAUUUUUCGGUUGUUUGCGCGACGAAUAAUAUUUUCUGUCGCUGUAGUGUAUUUUGCGCGACGAAUUCUCAUUCGUCUCUCAAAAUAUCGUUGCGCGAAUAGUAAAACGUAGUAGUGUAAAACCCAAACAAAAAUACUCUGUCUCAAAUCCUAAUUAGUCUUUAUGUCUAAUACCUAAUUUUUCUUUAUUGUAUUCAAUCCCAAUGUGGCCUUCCCAAAGUGAGCUCCAAAUUGACAUUCUGUGAUACAUAUGGGACUUCAUCAUCUUCAUCACGUAGGCCUUCAUAUGGGACUUCAUAACUUAAGUCUUUUGGAUACAUCAUGUCCUUCCGAAUAUAUAUAUAUAUAUAAUAUUUAUGCUCACGGACAUACAAUUAAGAUUUUAGCUUAUGGGAUAAUUAGAGCUGCUUUACAAACACGAUUUGGUGGUCAGUGAGAAAAAAUUGAUGUUCUAAAGCAGCUGUAUCUCACCUAAAAAUAACUAAAUAAAAACACUAAUUGGGUAGAAACAACUAUUAGAAGAUUGUGAUUCACUGUUACAUGUACUCUGGAAACCUAAUUUGAAAGCAAGAAGUGCAUAGAAACAGACGACAGAUUGGCAAAUUUUCAACAAUUAAAAGGAUAACGAAACAAUACAGAAAUGCGCAAGAGAGUUUUGAACUUGAAUUUAAAUUGAGAUGAUGUUCCUUUGGUAUGUUUAUUACUGAGUAGCUCAAUCAGAGACUGAGAUUUGCUUUACUUCUCUCCUUUUUUUUCUUUUUUUCAUUUCAUUUUGUGUCUUGCAAGUUAUAAGUGCUUCCACUUGUUUAGAAUCCUCUGAAUUUGGACAUUUACUUACAUUGUAAACUUAAGUAAAUGUGGACAUUUACUUACAUGUUGAAAAUGGAAAUAAGGUAAUAUGUACAAUGCCACUGUCUGGGCUAAUAUUGAAAAUAAAUUAAAUAUAUAGGUUAUGUUAUAAAUCAAUGAGAAAUUGGAGGGAGAGAAUUGAGAUAUCAAAGUAGAGAAACUGAUUUCAGAAUGUUUCUGUUCUCUCAUUUUUGAUCUGUGUGUCUGUGUGUUCUAAAUGUAUAUCUUGAGUAGGGAAGGGGGAAGCCUUUUAUAGGCAUUUGGGGGCAUUUUGGGGACUCCACAUUUACAACACUCCCCCUUGGAGACCACAAAUGAUACAGAAUAUGCCUCGUUAAAAACCUUGCCAGUAAAAGAAAACCCAGUGGGACAAAAAAACUGGUCAAAGGGAAAAAGAGUACAUAAUCAUGUGGAACAUAAAAUUCUAUAUAUAUUGACGCGCGUGCGACACUGCCUCGUUAAAACCUUGCCAGGAAAAACCCAGUGGGAUAAAAACCUGGACGAAGGAAAAAGAGUACAGUGUUUGAAGAUCUGUAUUGAUAGUGCGCUCCCCCUGAUGCUUGGCAAAAUAUCUUUAAGUCAUACUGUUGAUUAGCUUUCUGAAUAUCGUAGUUGACAUUGCUUCUGUGAGUCAAUCUUGAGCGACACUGCCUCGUUAAAACCUUACCAGGAAAAACCCAGUGGGAUAAAAACCUGGAUGAAGGAAAAAGAGUACAGUGUAUGAAGGUCUUUAUUAAAACCAUGCUCCCCCUGAUGAAUAUCUCCCCCUGAAAACUUCAUGACUAGCUUUUCCAGUAUGCGACCAUAGAAAUUUCCAGAGUCCGCAUAUCUAAUAACACUUGGGCUAUUUGUAAGUUCACUCAAAAAAAAUAUGCCCGUAUAUGGUGUUAUGCUGAGAUAGCAUCAAAUAUGCCUCACAUCAUCCCAAAAUGAUGGUGAUGGAGUUGAGCUCUAUCUGGAAAAUACGAUGUACGGUCCAAUAUACUUUUGGAAAAUCCUUAAAGUGUCCAACGGAUAAUCCUCAUAAAAAUGCUUCAAUACUUUCUUAGUAUAAGCAAGAAUCUCGUUGGCAUAAUGCUCGAUCGAGACAAAUAUUUCAUGAAUUCUGCAGAAGCUUUAAUGUGUUGCAAUCACAUUAUAAUCAAUGUACUCACUGAGGUAAUUUAUGCAUAUUAAUAUUGAGUACAAAUUUUGUGCUUCAAGCACAUGUCCUUUAGGGACUUGCUUUAUGCAAUAUCAAUCCUCUCAACGGAUUUUGUCUAAAAGGGAUUAAACUUUAUGACACAUUAUAUAGCUUUAACCCAGCUAUUUAUACAUCUUUAGGGAAUCGCUUCUGGCGAUAUGCUCUGUGCAUUUAAUAACCCUUAAAGAUAAUAUGUUGGUCUCCGUAAUUGUGUAAUAAGGGGGGGCACAAUUGAAUCUGUAAAUAUGGAGAAAACCCAACAUUCCUUGUUUCUGCCAGAAACAGUGUGUCAUACAAAGUAGGUAUAUUCCCUUUUAUUCCGAACACCCAAGUAUAAAUUCAGUAUUAACAAAUUUUGGGGUUCGUAUUGUGGGUUUGUUCUUUCACGUUCAUUCUCAUUUAUAAUGGAAUUACCUCGUUCCAUUUUGGCCAAUGAUAUUGUCGACAUUUAAUAAUUGAACGUGGUUCCAAUCAACACAACCCAUUGAUGAUUUGAGUAGCUACUCCAAAACUAAAAAUUGUCAUUCAUCAAUUCAUAAUCUCACAAUUCUCAUGUGCAUGCGCAUGCAUCAAUUAUAAGCAUUUCUUUGCUUUUGGGUACCCAAGCCACUUCAGGGGGCUUUUAAUAUGUGAGAAUGUGGAUUAUAACCUCCAAUGGAGCGUUAUUUUACAUAGGGCGUGGAAAAUCUCCAUUUAGGGAGUUGGAACAUUUAGAACCCAUAUAUCUGUCAUGCUGCAGGCAUGCCACAGAUUAAUACAUACAUGUCAAUUAAUUUCUGGGACUUUAACCCAUAUUAUGGGACUUUAACCCAUAUAAUUUGCUACGCAUUAGGCGUGCAUAAUAUCAAUAUUGACAUGUCAAAGGAUUGUCCUUUCGGGACUUCAAUCCAUAUCAUUUGCUACGCAACAGGCGUGCAUCAUAUUGAUCACUGCUAUACCCAUAUUCUGUUCUUAUGGUACAUUAAUCUGUGCAGUGUAUUAUCAAUGUAUCCAACUUGCAAUCUGUAAAAUUUGCAUUAAUAAUUCAUGGAUACAUACAAGCCAUUCUUUUGGAACGGACUUAUCUUCCCAUUUGGUUACCUUUCAAGAUAAAAUAUCAAAUAAGUAUAUAAGCAAAAAAUAACACAAGUAUUGCUUACAUCCUUAGGUGGGAGAAACUUUUCUCAAGUAUCAUUCAAGCUUGUAUCGGCCCAGUAAAUGUAGCGCUUGAUGAUCUAGUUAUAUCCUGCACUAGUAAAAUCACAACUCUCUUCUCUGUCAAAAACAAAUAAUCCUCAGAGAGUUACAGAAAGAGAAAAAAUGCAAAAAUAAUGUGAUAUUGAUUGCAAGAGAAGGUAAGCAAUCAAGGAAGGAAGCUGGUGGGAGCAAACGACAAGCUCUCAUUUCUUCUAGUUUAGAAGAACUUCCAGAUAUUAGAGCAUAAGGUUGCCUUCACAGUUCCCUGAUGUGGCGGAAACGUGAUCAGGGAUAGCCACGCUUCCUGAAUGGAUGAUCAGAGAUAGUCUUGCUUCUCGGGCAUAUUAAGUGCUCACUGAUAAGAAAAACAAGUAGAUAUUGCAUCACUAGGUAUGGAGAAAACUAGAUGUCUUCUGCAAAGAAAAUUUCGUUAGUAACACAUUUAUACACAAAUACAAUGAAUAGAUAGAACCGGUGAAUUUCAAAUUAACCAUAAGAAAAUUGCGAGAUUCUCGAGAUACUUUUGAAAAAGUAGCUCCGUGAAAUCCGCAAAGCAAGAUCGGCUUUUGACGAAAAUAAUACUUUGAAAACGCCGAAAGUACCGACAGGCAUUAUCAGAGGCCACGUGAAGUUUUGGACUCUGGGAAAGAAAAAGAGAUAAUAUGGGGAUCUGAGAUAAUAUUGGGAUCCUGGAAACUGUAGCCAUAUUUCCUCCUAUAGAUAUGGCCUUUGCAAAACUUGAUUGGAGCAACUGCGUUUCAACUUGCUCCUUUCCUGUUAUAAUAAUUGCGCACAUUCUUAAAAUUUGCACCUGUGGUUUUUACGUCUUUUCAAAAUGACGGUUUGGAACCUUGUGCCUUAUAGGUUCAAAUAACCACAUUCUCUCUCCCAAAUUGCAUGGUAGCCCGGAACUUUUGGCCUGGGCACAAACUCAGAAUUUAUUUGCCCUUUUCAAAUGGACAUGAAAUGUGAAUUGAGUAAAAGCCAUGAUAAUAUCGCAAUAUAGUAGUGAAGAGCAUUAACUACUAUAUACCCACAACUUCAAGUUCAGGAUCUCUCAUAUAUUUGGAUCCAUGGGCUUCCGGCCCAGAUAUAACAAAAUAUGUGGGGAGCCUCAAUUCAUUAUUUGAGGUUUAUAUUGAUAUUAUCCAUUUCGCGGUGUAUUCUUAACAACUGGAAUUCACAAAAUAUAUUUCUUCCUUGAGGUGUCGAUUAUAACAAAAUCGAACUUUAAAUUCAUCAUCUUCUUAUGCCAAAGAAAUAUGUGGCAUACCACAAUUUGCAACAAUACCUCAAGGGUUGUCCAUUUAAUUAUUGGAACUUCAGGUUCUCAACACUGUUAAAUUUUGAACUUCAGGCCCAAGCCACAUAUUCUCAUGGUAUGGACAUUUUUAUAAUUUUCUGUACAUAUUUUGGGACUUCAAGCCCUUACAUAAUUGUCCAUAUUUUGAGGAACUUCUGGCAUCUCAUUUAAUUGCUCAUCCAUGAGUUUAAGGAACUGCAGGUUCCCUUUUGUAUAUAGUGACGGUUUACCCAAAAUGGUUCAUAUUUAUGCAUAUGUCACUAUUCAUGUGAAUAGUACUAUUCAUCAAGUCAUGAAUACGUAUCUAUUCAUCUGCCAGUACAGUUAUCAUCAAUGUGUACGGCACUAUGAACCAAUACGGUACUGUUACAUCAUUAAGGAACUCUAGGUCCUUAUUUACAUGUCAGGGAUCAAGGACCCUUAAAUCCGAUCACAUGUUUACAAAUACAGUACCGGAGAGACUGCCAGCUCUCAUAUUAAUAUCAUCAUCAAGGAUCUUCAAGUCCUGAUGUAAUUGUAUGAUGAGGAUCAAGGAACUUCUGAUCCUGAUCUGCAUACUGUAAAAACUCAUCAUACAGCACAAUUAAUCCAUAAAAUAAAUUGCUGAUAAAUAAAUUACUGGUAUGGACGAUAAACCCGCACCACACUUUAAAUAAAUGUAAAUGUGCGGUAAAUUAAAUUCAUAAAGUUAAGGUGCUUGUAUGGGCAUUAAUUCUGCUCCAUACAUUUAGAUAAAAGUAAAGGCGUGGACGAUAAACCCGCACCACCCUUUUAAAUAAAUACUGUUGUAUGGGUAAUAAACCUACACCAUACAGUAAAUAAAAUAAAUAUGGGGUAAAAACCACCACUAAACAAAAUAAGAAAAAUGUUAGUAUUAGUAACGGCCUCCCACUGAUAAUAUGUUUGGUAUUACCAAGGGUCCAUUUUUGUUAAUGGUUAGUAAAAGAAAAGCAGAUAAAUAUAAUAGGAAAUAAUAUGGAAGAUAAGGGAGCAGAAAACUUAUCGCUUAAUCCCUUGCUGAGUGAUCCCCCCUUUUUUUUAUGUAUUAUAUAUUAUUUAUUUAUUUAUUUUUGCAACUGUGAUCAGGCGUGGGUGUUGUUUUGUUUGAUGCAGACACAGCGUGCCAGCUUUCCCUUAUUUUUAAUCUCAAAAGUAAUCCUCAGCCCACGUUUUCUAGCUUCCUUCAGCUAGUUUUCCAGUCAUUGAUGUUAAGCUGCCAAGGAUCUGCUCAAGUCUGGCUAUGGCCGCUGAGGAUGCAUAGAAGCCAUUGGUUCCGGCUGCGCCACCAGCUGGCCACCGUGCCCGACUGCCAGAUUGUGUCGACUCUCCGGUGAUGACGUGGUACGUUCUUGGAGCGGCGCUGCCUAACGCUCCACCGCAGAGGGGGAAUAUCACGGCUGGUCUUGGACGGCCGCGUCGGCUCGGCGUGCCUGAGGAGGAGAAGAACGUCGACGACCGCCGCCUCGUCGUUCAUGGCCAGGUUGACCCAGCCGUCGUCGUCAGUAGCAGCAGCAGCCAUAGUGUCGUUUUUAUCUUUUGUUGGAGGAGGGCAGUUUGCUAGAGCCACUUGCCCUUGCGCUAGGGACAACUCGGGAGGAGCCAGGAUGCCGAUGACGUGGACACUGCCCUCCGGGAGGCUGAGGAGGACGCAGAAGAGCCCCGAUGGAGCUGCAAGUUCUGACGCUGGAACCCUUGCACAUGGCUUUGGCUGCUUCCCUGCACCACCAUCACGAAGGCUCAGGCCAAGGUCCAGACCCAGCUCAAGCUCUGCCUCAGCUGGGUAUGAGUUGAGUUAGAUGAGAGAAGCUUGACUUGCUUCAGUCCAACGACGACGAGGUUGUGGUUGUGAAUCGGUGUAUGGCAGUGAUGAUAAUGAUAAAAGUCAGAGACUUUUGGUGGAGAACCAUCUUCAAUUUGGGUUCGGAGGAAGCUGGGUGCUUAUCAGUCAUCAGAUUCGUCACCUUUCUCUGGUCUAGGUAUUGCUGCUUUUGCUCUCUGUGUUUAUUGGAGAGGGAUUUUAGUAGUGGCUUCGCUCUGCCUUCUCUUUCACAGAAGCAGAAAGAAAAAGGUGAAUGAAGCAGAAGAAGAAGCAGCCAUGGCUAUGUUUUUCUUUGUGUUUGUUUGGCUGGGUUUCAUCAGAGAAUUCAGCUGGUAUUGUUAAAGCGAAUUCGUGCUGAUAACGUGUUAUAAAUCAAUGAGAAAUUGGAGGGAGAGAAUUGAGAUAUCAAAGUAAAGAAACUGAUUUCAGAAUGUUUCUGUUCUCUCAUUUUUGAUCUGUGUGUCUGUGUGUUCUAAAUGUAUAUCUUGAGUAGGGAAGGGGGAAGCCUUUUAUAGGCAUUUGGGGGCAUUUUGGGGACUCCACAUUUACAACAGGUUAUACAUAUUUUUUUUCUUAAAAAACCACACUGGGCUGCAACCCACUGUAGCCCUUAAUGUGGUUCCGCCGCCCUUGCUCUUUGGGAAUCCAAAAUAUCAUUCUUGAAUCUAAUAGUCAAGUCCUUAUAUCCAGUUUAAACACCAGGCCUGAUGUCUAUGACUGGAGGAUCUUUCCUUUAUUGGACGAAAUUAGACGUCUUAGCUCUUCUUUCAACCAAUGCUCUUGGGGUUGGGUCUGUCGUGAAGCUAACGGUGCUGCGGAUGCGCCGCAAAGCUUGCCAAAUGGAGGCUGUGCUUUUGUAACUGGGUUGGUACCCCUCCACCCUCCUUGGUCUCGGUUCUGUCUCGCGAUGGGCUCCCUGGCCCCCCCGGUUUAGUCUUAUUUUUUUCUAGCUUUUUAGUUGUUUCUUUCUGCUGGCCUUCUCUGGCGCUUUCUGUUUUCUGGCUGCCUUUUUAUUUUGCUUUCUUGUUGCUACGUGCUUUGUUCUAUUGCUUGGCCUUUUUGGCUGCUUUUUUGUAAUGAAAGAUCUCUUUUUCAAAAAAAAAAAAAAAAAGCGAAUCUUUUCACUCAGGGUAAAAAAGAAAAGUUUAGAGAUUCAGCCCAUUGCAUUUUCAAAUCCUGGCUCUGUCACUACAACUGGGGAUGUAUUAUGUUUCUUGGUUAUAUUGUAGUUGGUUCAACCUCGCUAGAGUCUUGUUUAUCUUGCAAAUUCUAUAUAUACUAAAACCCAAUGCAACUAAACACUGUAGCUAAGCACAGUAAAAUUACGAAAAUGCCUUUAUUUAAAACUGUACAGCCAGCUUUUCCUCUCCUUUUGCACAGUAAAAUUGCCAUUUUGCCCUUGACUGAUUCUACUGUAUUUUUCCCAUUUUUCCCUCUCUUUCCUUGGGAUGUAACUAGCUAUUGUUUAGGGCUGAGAGGUGUCUGGUUGGAUUUCAACUAGCUGGUUGGAGAGCUACAGGGGUAAAAUGGGAGAGCUGUUGGUUCUUCACUGUUUAAAUAUGGAGGGUUCCACUGUUUUACAGAACCACCUUUUUUCCCAUCGAAUUGCUUGCCUUCUUCGUUUCCAUUCUUCUCAUCUUCCUCUGCUCUUCCAAAGUGCUCACUUUUCAGCUCCCUUGGGUUCUAUCAGGAAGGGGAUUAAAUCUUACAGAUUCGCUGAGGUAUUUCCAGCGUUGUUAUUCUUAAUUUUUUUGCUCAAUUGUCAAUUAAUUUUUCUACUCAAUUGUGAAUUAAUUUUUCUGACUUCUCUAUUCUCCCACCAAAGCAAUAUAUCACCACUGGUCUAAGAAAAACAUAGUGUAGUUUGUGAGAGAUGAUGCAAAGCCCAUUAAAUUGGUGACACAAACCAAACUUACAGCUAACAUUGGUGACAUAAACAGAUCAGUCAAAGCAUAAAAACCAAGUUUUUUCACAAAAACAAGAGUAGAGAAUUUAUUUCUGAAAACGAAAUCCAUCAAGCACACACCUCUAAUUUGAAGCCUCUUCCACUGUCACUGAUCAAAUGGGUUUUACGGACUAACCUCCUUAAACAAAGCACCGUGUGUUGAGCUAGAGACUAGUAUAGCUGGUGGACGCGAAGGGCUCUGCCCAAAGAAGAAAUUUCCUUAAAAUGGUAGACAACCAUGAAAUAGGCUAUUCCAGAUUUGGCCAGCAACCAUGCCUCAGCUCAACAAACCCAAUUAGAAAGAAAGAGAUUUUAUAGAGAGAAGUGAAGUGCAUGGGUCUCUCUGGUUAUGUGUGCCUCUGUGUGUGUGUGUGUGUGUGUGUGAGAGAGAGAGAGAGAGAGAGAGAGAGAGGCGUGUAAGAGACUUUUGAGUUUUGUUUUUGUGCACACAACAUAGAGUGAGCUGGAGAGAUGGGUCAAGAGGUGAUGAGUACGACAACAUUGUACUUUUCUUUUGUUGGGUCUAUCUAAGCAUUGUACUUUUGUUUUGUUGGGUCUAAAUCAUUAUACUAUUCUUUUUUAGUUGUGUUUGUGUCGUAGCCAAAAGUUACCUUAUUCUUCUCUCAUUAAAAUUCCAUAAAAUGCUUGAACAAAACCAAUCAGGUUUCAACAAAAUAGAAAUGGCAAUGAUUUUAUCUUAACCUCUAUUGGUUUUCUUUGGGGUUCUCAAGAAACAAUUCACUUGAUUUCUUGACUUGGUGGGCUUGAUUGAUUAUGAGUUUUGAGUCAAAUGUGCUCACUGUGCAUAUCUGUUUAACUAGGCUUGAUAUUAAUAUAUGCAUAUUGUUUGAUCGUUAUAGAAUUCAAUUAAUUCUUUGAUAUAAUAAUAGAUAUUUGUAAUUGUGAAGUUGUUUACACAAAACUAAAUUUAUGUUGGUGUUAAAAAUAUAAGCAGGAUUUCAUAUAGUGAUGAAAAUUUUGUCAUCUUUUUCUCAUCCUGUGAUAACCUAUAUUUCUCUAAAAAUGUGAUUCGAUCCAAAUGUAAUUCAAUUAUUUGUUUAUUUCACAGCUUGAAUACACCAAAAAGCAAGGGACUAGACAUUUGCAUUCUGCUGUCAUUUUCGAGGUAUAAAAACUCCUCUAAUUCAUUGUUUUUUUAAAUUGAGCAUUAUUAGUCAUGUUAGUCAAUUGAUUUUAAUUAUUUUGUAAGAUUUUAUAUUUUAUUUUCAUCGAUUAUGCUUGCAUACAAGUUAUUUAGAAGUAAUCUUUAUUUUGUUGAUUGAUACAAGUUGGAUAUGCUUUAUUGCUAAAAAUUUUCUCCUCUUUUAAAUAUUUUCCCUUUGAUGUUCUCAUUGAACAUUUUAUCUAAAUCAUUAAUCUGGUGAACUUGGUUGAUUAUAAAUUUUGAGUUCAAUGUCUCAAUUGUACAUAUGGAUUUAACAAGGCUUUAUAUUAAUAUAUAUAUAUAUAUAUUGUUGAAUCAUUAUGAACAAAAGUUGGUUGUCUGAUAAAAUAAUAGAUAUCUAGAAUUGUUAUGUU